UUCAUUCAACUUCAAAACAUUUUUCGUGUAAAAUGCUCUCUCUUCGUUUUUUUUUUCCACAAUUUUGAUUUUUUGAAUCGUUCAAGAGGACAAAGAGGAGUUUUGUUUGUUUGUUUUUCUUGCUUCUAUCAAAAAAUUGAUUUCUUUUGUUCGCUUUGAUAAUUUUCCUUUCACGUAUGUGAUUUUGACGUGAAAGUGCAUCUAAAUCAGAGCGGCUUGUGAUUCUCAUCUUUCUCUGAUAUGAUUUGAACAUAAGUAAAGUUUACCGUGUUAAAAUUGUUUUCUUUCUCUUCUAAGUUACUUUUUUAUCCCGCUUCAAUCUGAAGAUUCCUUUCUAUUGUUGGUUAUUCACUGUUCAGAUUGUUGUCAAUCUUUGCUUCAUUAGUGCGCUCACCAAAAUAACCUUGAUGAAUGGUUGAAUUAAGUUUUUCAGAAUAACUUGGUUGAUUGCGUGCAGGUUCAGUAGAGAUGAAACUUUUUUUUGUGAAGGUGUUCCAAGAAAGGAUCUGCUCUUAAUCUUCACAAGAUUUCGCUGUGCUACCACUUCUGGCGAUUUGCGAUGGAGUUCCGUUAGAUUCAGGUUCAGCUGUUGUAUGAAAAAAAGACUGCAAGUGGAAUCAAGUAGUAAGCUCUUUACAGCAAAUUCUAAUUCUCUGUUGUGGCGGAGAGAGACAGAGGACGGAGGAGUAAUCAUGGAAGACCACGGUGGUGAAAUCUGGCGACCAUCAGAGACUGGACCUUUGCAUGGACUUACGCGUGUGUAUUUGAUGCUUCUAGAAAUAAACACGUAGAGACACACAAACAUCUCUUCUAUCAGUGGGCUUCAAUUAAUUUUAUAAUUUUUUGUUGGACCUUCUCGGUAGAAAAAUAAUUUCACUUGUAAUAUCUAUUGGGCUAAAGCUAAGGAUUUAAUAAUCACCAGAAGUUGACUUUUUUUGGAACACAUCAUCCAUCAGAAGUUGACAAAAAAAAUGAUUUCAUAAACUUUUUUUUUUUUUAAAGGCUUUCAUAUUAAUUUUUUUUGGAUUUUUUUUAGAACAUACAACACAAUAGCUGAAAAUUAAGAAAGCUAAAAAAUAAAAGCUAAAAAGAAAAAUAGAACCAACCCAACGCAAUAGCCGGUUUACCAAAACCGGAACAGACCACGAAACCCUAAAACACCGCAAGAAGAGCAAAGGAGAUGACGGCCGCCACCGAAUUGAAUCCGCCGGAACCUUCCUCCGAAAAGGCGCCACGUUAACCGCGAUUCAUCGCCUAAAGCCGGAGCAUCGUAGCCAAACAAGCCGAGAGAUGAAGCACUUUCGUCAGCAAGGAAACCGGCGAAGCAUAGGGUGAUAGAUAUCACCGGACACAACAGAGAGACUCGUUUUUGGAGAGAAACUGAAAAAAAAAACAGAGAGCACAAAAGGGAAAAGGAAACCACCGAAGCUGAAAGGUAUCGCCGGCUUAGAUUUCGAGAUCCGGAAAGGAGACACAACGAAGGGUAGAGGAGAGGAGAUACAGAGAGGGAGCCCUCUCACGGCAGUGACGGCCGAAGCCCACCACCGGAGAGGCGAACGUCUUCACCGGAAAUCGCCUUUUUCUUUAGAGUGGAGAGAGGAGAAGCAGAAGAGUUUCUUAAUUUCAUAAACUUUGUCUCUGCAUUUUCUAGUCCGUUGAUUGUUCUUAGGGUCACCGACAUCUGUCGGUGGCACUCACCCUUCUUUAGCUUCUUCGAUUUUAUAAUUCAUUCCACACUACAAAAAAGACGAAUUUUGACAGAGAAAUUAGUCAGUUUUAGCUCGUCAGAAUUUCUUUUUUUUUUCUCUGUCUGCAUCAUGAAUUUUUGACGAAAUUCCCAGAUGUUUUUCAUCAAAAAAUUCCGAUGAAUGUUUUCUGUCAGAAAUUUCAGACGAGUAUUUUCUUCAGAAAUUUCGGAAAUUUCUAAUAGCUGACUUUUAUUUUAUUCAUUUUAUUUUUAUUUAAAUAAUGAUUUAUUAUAUAUAUAGAUAAUAAGGGUAUAAGAGUCUUUUGCGACUUAAGGAAUAAGAUAUUUUUAAAAAUGUCACUUUAAUAGUGGUAAAGAUGAAAAGUGGUACCAUGAAACUGGUAAACAUAAGAUUUUCCCAUAUAAGAAAGUAUUUUAUUACUUAGAAGUAUAUUUUAUGUUAGGGAAAAUCGCAUUUUAAAUACUGAGACUGUCAUUUUCUAGCACUUUAAAUACUGAAGUUUUUUUACUAGCACCUUAAACCUUCAAAGUGAUUUUUUUAUCAUAAAAAACCUCCAAAGACGUUUUCAUAUUCAUAGACGACCGAUACUGUUUAUUUCACAGGUCAAAAUGAUGAUGUGUCGAUUUCUUUAUUUUUAAUAAAAAAUAAAAAUACAGAAAAAUACAUAAUGAAAUUUGAAAAAAAUGUAAAAAUUUAAAACAAAAUUUUAAAAAUCUAAAAAAUUCAAAAAACAUAAAAAAUUAAAAUUUCAAACGUAAAAAUAAAAUAAAAUAUUAAAAAUUCAAUAAAAUCAAAAAUAAGAUCUAAAAUUAAAAUGUCAAAUUUAAAAAAGAAAAUUUUUUAAAUAAAAAUUCUAAAUUCUAAAAUAAGAUCUAAAAUCGAAAUUUCAAACUUAAAAAUUAAAAUUGUAAAGAAAAAAUGUAAAUAUUUAACCAAAAAAAUUAUAUUUAUUUUAAAAUUUCAUCCACUUAAAGUGACAGUCACUUAUGAUGAUAUCAAAACUUGCUACCAUCAAAAAAAUUUUUUUUGAUAAUCCGGAUAUCCAGACACCUUACAUAGCCCGACUAGCGCCUAAGUACACUUCGCAGAAAACAUCUCGGGGGCCGCCAAUUUCACCCCAUGUUAAUUGAUGGUGACCACACGCAGAGCUAAUAAUUCUCUCAAAUAGAUUGUUUUGAGUUUUGUCCUAAAAAUAUUUUCUUAGAAAGAAAAUGACCAAAAUAUUUCAUUAAAGAUGCAAAAGACUUGUAUGCUCUAAAUAUAUAAAUACAAAUAAAUAAAGAAAAAUUUCAAAUUUUUUUUUAAUAUUUUAGAUCUUAUUUUAGAAUUUUAAGAAUUUUAUUUUCGUUUUUAAAUUUGAAAUUUAUAUUUUAGAUCUUAUUUUUGAAUUUUUAGAUUUUUUUAAUAUUUUAUUUUAUUUUUAAUUUGACAGUUUUAAUUUUUAAUUUUUCUGUUUUUUGAUUUUUUUUAAUUUUGUUUUGAAUUUUUAUAAUUUUUUCCAAUUUCAUUCAUUUUUUCUGUAUUUUUUUUCUUUAAGAAAAAAAAAAAACUGACACGUCAUCAUUUUAUCCUAUAAAAUGAACAGUACCGGUCACCUAUGAACAGGAAAACGUCGUUGGAAGUUUAUCAUGAUAAAAAUGUCAAUUUGAAGGUUUAAAGUGCUAGUAAAAAAACUUGAGUGUUUAAAGUACCAGAAAGUGAUAUUUUCGGUGUUUAAAAUGCGAUUUUUCCUUUUAUGUUAUUAAAAUUAUUUUUUAAAUGGAAUAAUAGUAUUUUGUGAACUUUCUUUCUUAACUGGAUGUCUUCUUUUUCCAUGUGCAUCCUAGGUUGAUCCGUUGUUAGAGAAAACAAAAUUUAUGCGUUAUAUCAAUGCGAAAUUACAAGGAAGACAGAGAUAAGAUUGGUGAGACCAAAAUGCUGUCGUGGAUCAAGAAGAUUGUAGCACUGGAUUUGAAACAUGUGCUUGAAAUUCUGGACAGCGUAAGUUUCUUGGUGGAUUGGGGAGAAGAAAGUCCUCGUUGGUAGACAAACACAAGGGAUAGAUCGUUAAUUACUUUUGGACUCGAAUUCAGUUCAUUUUUUUCUCAAUUAUGUUCCAAGAUUGACUCAAAUCCAGCAAGCAGCUUUGCAUUAGUUUGGAGCUUCUUUUUUAGCUUCCCAAAUGAAUAAGAAGCAAGCAUAUUUCUCAUAACCACAUUAUCAAAAUUUCAAACAGAGAGUAACCCCUUGAGCAAGUAGAGAGAAAGAAGAUAGUAUUCGUGACUUUGUUGUGAGAUGAGCAAAGCUGCAAAGAUGAUGAAAACUAGAAUCUCUUGGUCAUUCCUCAUCAUCGUCUUUUCUUCUUUAAAAGUGAAGCAGCCCGAAGAAACAUCUUGUCGACCUCAUCAAAAUCUGGAGACUCAUCCUCCUUAUCAUCUCUCGAUUUAGUUUUCCCUGGAUCCCCAAAAUCCUCUUCUUCUUCUCCUACCUUGCUGUUUAUAGCUGGAAAUUUCUCAAACUCCUGAAGAAAAAGCGGCCGCUCUGCCUUGUCGUUCUCUGAUUCCGAAUCAGUCUCAAAUAUAUCAGAAAUAUCAGAAUCCGUUACCAAAUCUUCUUCUUCUUCUUGCUCAUCCUCAAAACACUCUUGGCUUCUUUCUAUAAUCUUCUUCAACUCUUCCGACCUUUGAUCAUCAUCAAUCUUGACUACACUCGGAGAGUCUCCCUUAGUAGCCUCACAUUGCGCUUGAAGCAACUCAAGCUCUUGUUCAAGCCUCGGAAUAUACUUUCUAACAGCACGAAGCGCAUCCCUACAUUUGGAUUUGUCCAAAGCCUUUUUUCUCGGGAGAGUAACCCUCGGAGACAUGAUCUCAGUCGGAGGCUGGACAUAGUUCUUGCCUCUGUACAUAAUAAUCGUGUUCCCUUCAUGAACAUCAAGCACGAUCCCACCAGUCAACCUAGCUAACUCAAUAGCGAUCUCAUUAACUUCCUCCGGAGUAAACGUUUUGAUGACAACCUGUAGCGUCUGAUGCUUCUUCCAGUGAAGAUGCAUGUUCAGAAUCACUCCCUGGUAGAUCCCACGUCUCCCAACAGGAACAUAGUUCUUACACUUCAAACCCAUUUUCAGAUAAAAGAAAUGCUCCUCAGGUGUCAAGAUCUCAGGGUCAUGCGUCGUUUCAGAUGACUCUGAAGGUUCCAGCUUCUUCAUCGUCUCCACAAGUCGUUCCUCCUUCUUACGAGCCUGUCAGAACAACACGAGGAACAUAAGAGGUGUAAUAGCAAUAACACAUUAGCUGGUCCGAACAUAGGUAAGAAGAAGAUGAAACCUUUCUUAGUUUGUUGAGAAUCUUUUCUUCAGCAGUCAUUCUUUCAACCUCUUUCUUCUUCUUCCACCGGAAAAACUUGAGCCACCGUACAACCGCACGUUUACCCUUGAGAUUUUUCCUCUUGGGUUUUGUAGAAGCUACUCCAUCUUGACUCAAACUGUUCUGAGGGUUGCUCGUGGUGGUCUCACGAGCUGGAGUAGAAUGAAACCAAGAGGAUGUCAAGUAUCCAACGUACCAUGCAGGUCUUUUACAAGACUCGUUAAGCAAGACCUUGCACAAAAGAUUACCAGAGCUACUACAUUAUAAGUUAAACCCUCCUACAGUUCAGUUAUAUAUAAACAAUAAUAAAGACCAUCAAUAAUGUGCACAGAAAAAAAAAUGAACCUAAGAGAGCAAAUGAACCUAAAAGAAGAAAGACAAAAUCGUAAAAUGAAUCGUAACUCCGAACAAUCCUAAAAGAAAAAUCAAAGCGGAGCUCGAAUGCUUUGAGUGGUACCUGAUAGUGCGAGGAGGGAUGGAAUUAGAGCUGGGGGAAGAGGCCAACGACCAUAACUGCCGAGAAUUACGGCGUAACAGUACUGACAUCGAUGUCCAAACCCUAGCCGCCGUCGGUAUCACCAUUUCUUCUCACCCGACGGUGUUAACUAUCUCCUUGGGGGGGGGGGGUUAUAGGUUCAUUAACCGUCUUUAACCGGUCAUGGUUAUUGACUCUAUUCAAAACUGAAAUCCCCGACCGAAUCAAUGUUUCGGUUUGGUUCAACUUCUCUUGUUAGUAUCUGGUUGAUUGGUUUAUUAUGGUCGAGGCGUGAUUUUGAAACGAAUUUACUGAAACAAACAAAAAAAAAAGAUACUGUAAUAGAAAACACAUGGGUCAAGGACGGUCCAGUCUAAGAGUAAUUUGGCCACUUAAGAAUAUAAAAUUUUCUCCCACAUCGAACAAAACUGAAACUGCACUUCGAAGGAUUCAUGUAUAAAACCAAUCUGGUGACAAUUUUCACAACCCAUGGAGCCGUGUGGUGAGCACAAAGCGAACUAUUCUUUCGCCUUUUACUAAAGAAUACCGUGUGCUCUCCACUUCAAACGGCAUACUCUUAUUUUUGGAGGAGUUAAUUCUACAUGAAGUUUGCUCCACUAAUCUCUUAGUCUCAUCUUGUUUAAAACCUCACCUUGUUUUAGUUUUGUUACUCAAGUGUAUGUGUACUGUUACUAAUUACCUGUUGUAGUACUGUACCAUUGAUUAUCCUGUAAUAAGGCCCUGUUCGUUUGCUUACCCAGGUGAUCCAUCUGGGUGAAGAUGCAAAUUGAUGUUCGUUUAGUGCAUUAUAAUGCUACAUCCAGAUGGAUCACCCAGCUGAAUUUUUAAAAACUCAUCUCAAAUUCUCACCCAAAUGAAGGUGAGUCUUGAUGGUGCAUCUGGAUGCAGAUGCAUCUAGUUCAGUCCAAAAUGAUAAAUGACAAAAAUGACCUUUUAAAAUCGAAAUAUUAUUUUCAAACCGUCAAUCUUAUUUUUUUGCAAAUACAUUUUUCCGCCAAAACCAGAAAAUACAUUUUCUCGCAAAAACGGAAAAACACACUUUCCCGCCAAAACCGCAAGAUGCAUUUUUCCGCAAAAAAACAUAAAACACACAUUUUCAUUAAAAUACAUUUUUCAGCUAAACCAGUAAAACCACACUUUUCGACCAAAGCCCAAAAAACGCAUAUUCCCGCCAAAACUCCAAAAGCAUUUUCCGGUCAAAAACCGCAAAAAGUAUUUUUCAGCCAAAACCGGAAACAAAGCAUUUUCUCGCCAAAACCAAAAAAACACAUUUUCUCGCCAAAACCGAAAAAUACAAUUUUUCCGCGAAAACGAAAAAUACAAUUUUCCCACCAAAACCGGAAAACUGAAUUUUCCCGCCAAAACCAGAAAACAGAAUUUUCCAACCAAAACCAGAAAAACACAUUUUUCCGCCAAAACCGGAAAACAGAAUUUUCCCGCCAAAACCGGAAAACGGAAUUUUCCCGCUAAAACCGGAAAAACGCUGCAGAUGAAAAUUAAAAAAAUGACAAACAAACGAACAUAGUUGCAUUCAGAUGAUUCAUCUGGAUACAUGGACGAAAUGAAGAAACGAACAACAUCCAGAUGGAGCAUCUGGAUAAGACAUCUAAAUGGACAAUCUGGAUGCAUCUUCCAGAUGUACAAACGAACAUGGCCUAAUAAGAAAAACGACUCAGCCUUGCCUUCGUGCUUUACAUUCCCACAAUAUUUUUUUUUAAUUAUUAUUAUAAAGCGUAGCAAACUUACUUUCAUAAACCAUAAUACGAAAAUUGCUAACACAACUGAAUCUAUAGAUCAAGUCAGAAAGAAGACUUGAAGAAUUAAAUCAUAAGCCAUGGACGGAGAAUCCAUUACAUUGGUUCUCUAAAGACCAAAACUAUUCAUAGCUCAUCAAAAUUGAUAGUUAACUCGCUCGACCAACUAAUAUCUGAUGGUUUGGUGUCUGAAUCAAGAUCAGUAUCUGAAGAUUCCAAUGUUUUAUCUAAAGCUUCUGCCAAUUCGGCCUCCCAGAAACCUAAUCUACAUGCUCUCCUGUAAGUCUCAUAACCUGCUACUCUUAGCCCUUCUGCGGCCAUCUCUCUUAAAGAACCAACAAGCUGCUCUUCAUUGUUAACCUCCCGGAGGAAAGUCUCCGAGGAACCUGACUCCCAAAACACCACAACCGCACAGCUCCUGUCUAAGUAUUUAACAUCAAACUCUCGCGCAAAAACAGCGUGUGACUUUUGUAGAACAUUCUUCAGCAUUGCAGCUGUCAUCUUUUUCGACACUCCCCAUAUGAACACCAAAUUCUCAGAGCUUACUCUCCCGCUGUUCUUUGACCAGACUUUGACAUUUUCAUCGUUUGAGGUGAUUGAAUUCGCAUGUUCAGCAGAAUCCAAAGCUUGGAGAUCUUCAUUUGAUUGAGCAGGGGAUUUAUCUGAUUUCUGUAUGGUACUUAGUUUAGCAAAAAGCUGAGAUAUCAUCACAACGUUCUGCCCAUGCAUCUGAUGGCCUUCGUCUGGUUUGACCACACAUCCUAACAAGAGAAGCCAUUAUUAUUCAACAUCCAUUCACUCAGAUUGCCAAAUUCACGUAGUUACAAGUAUUCAAAGCAGAACACUGACCUUGAUUUGCUACUUCCACAUCCACAGGAGCAAAGAACCGAUUCAAGGAGGACAUAGCUGCAGGAAGAUUACUUAUAUUACGUAAGGGGCUAAUUUCUUUCAUGAGUUGACUGAGAUCCACGACCUUGGGAAAAGCUGGGCUCAGUGAACUGCUGAAGUCAUCAACAUUUGAAGGUAGAGGGCCUAAGAACUUGGCAUGAAUGGAAGUGAAAUCUGCGACACAUUAAGCAUAUGAUUAUCAUCCAUGAAGGAAUAGGGGGGAAAGCUAAAAUUCAUGUGUAAACUAAGGAGAUAACCGCUAAGAUAAUUCUGAGAAACAACAGGUUUCUGUGAAGAAGAAAUCAAAUCAACCACUUCUCGGAAGCCACGAACUCGCCUGUUCUCUUCAUUUUCAAGAUCUUGAAGCUCUUUCUGUCCAAGAGAAUAAAUUCUAUUAAAAAGAUAGAUAUUCACCAUCAUUAUGAUUCAUACUGGAUUAAUAAAUAUCCAAUUAAUCUCCCAUACCUUAAAAAGAUCCUUGUCCUCCUUCGAACUCAUGAAGACAGUACGAACUGCUUGUGUUCCUCUGCUCUUAGAAGCAACGAGUAGAGGGACAACAUCAUCAGAGAACUCGGUCAACAUCUGUGUUGACAAAAAAUUAAAAGCUUAUCAAACAAACCAUCGACACAGACUGCAAUCAUGGUGGCAAGUAAGCUUUAUCAUCUACCUCUAAGAUGAGUUGCACUUGGCGCUCACUACAAACAUCAAUAGUCAAACAUAGCCUUGAACCAUACUGCUCACUCCCCAGCACCAGUUUCCUCAGAGAGCUCACCAAAUCAUCUGAAAAUCAACAAAACAGAUGCGUUAUAUUAAAAAAACUGUCCAACUUAAGGCAAAAGAGAUUCAUAUUGAAAGUGUCUUAACAGUAGCAAGUGCACCAUCUCCUGUCUUUGAGCUGGAGUCGAUACAAGACUGUCUCCAGUUCUUGACGCGUGACCUUAUCCUUCCAACAAAGACGGUAUCAGCUACAGUGGAUGGAGAAGAAGGUACAGUGAUGGGAUCAGGUAAAAUCGGAUUCCCUGAGAGAAACUUGGACGCAGAUUCUUGUUCUCUGGACAAGUAUGAGAUCCCUGUCCAUAAAAAAAAGUAUCAUUAAGAGACAACUCGUAAAAAAAACAAACCGAGAGAUAUGAAGUAGCAAUAAACCUUCAUAGAUACAGGUGUUGAAAUCAAACCCUUCCCUAGCCAUGGCCGUUAAACGAGAAGCUUGACAAGAGAAGCUAUAAGAAGGCAUCCCUAACUUCAAUUCAUCUCGAGGAAACAAAUAGAAGUUAUAUCUACAUAAAGCCGAAACCCCAAUCAAUCAGUAAAGAAGGAGCAAAGAGACAGAGAGAGAGACUUGGGAAUCAUACGGGUGAAGGGUGAGCUUGGAGCCGCGAAGGGAGAAGGGGCAGAGAGCGAACUGGAAGAUCUGGUAGCGUUCGGCGGCGUAUUUAGCCUUGAGGUAACUCGUCUGAGGUGUAUCAAUGGCGGAGACACGGUGCCAGGCGGCGGCGUGGGAGCCGGUGUUCUGUAGGGAGAGGGCUACGAAGUCCGAAGAUUCGAUGGAAGAGCGAAACUCAUCGAGAGAGGAUUUGAAGUUGGAUUUUGUGACCUGCUUCACACUCCAUCUCCGAUGAUUUAGGGUUUUACUAUUGCCGGCGGAAGCGGAAAGGAAGCGCCUUUGCAUUUUCAGCAGCAUCGACAUGGCCAGCCAGAUAUGAGAGGCUAUUCUAUUUAAACGUGUUACAAAGAUAUACUAAACCGCUCCGGAUGUUUAUUUUCAUUUUAUAUACAUAAAUAUUUUUUUACAUCAUUUAUCGUAUAUAUAUUUAUUUAACAAAUUAAUAUAUGCAUUAAAAACAUAUUAAAUAUUACUUUUGUAUUAAAAAUAUAUUCAGUUUUGACCCACCGACUUUGAAAACUAAGUUUUCUAUUAGUAAUAUUUUUACAUUUAUUUAUUUCAGAUAAUAUAUUAUUAUAUAUACAAAAGUCUAAGAUAUGUCGAUUUUUAUACAUGUAUUAUAUAGUUUUUGAAUGUUAAAUUGUUAUAUCAUCGUAUUAUAUUUUUAGCAUAAAUAUUUUAUAUUUAUAAAAACUGUUUUUACAAUUUUAUCAAUUUAAUAUAAUGUUAUCAUAUUUGUUUAAUAAUAUUAGUAUAAUAAUCUCAUUUAAUAUAAACUAUUAUUAUUAUAAAAUGAUAAAAAGGUAAUUUGUUUUUUAUAAAUGAUUACUAUAUAUAUAUAUAUAUUAAUGCAUAAUAAUAGUUCAUUGCUAAUUACAAAAUUAGUUGAAAUAUUUACAUAAAAUUUUUGAAAAUCAAGAUAAUGCUAUAACAUUUUCAAAAUAUUUGUUAAAAAAAUUAUACAUAUAUAGAUAUGUAUAUAUUUAUUUAUAUUUAUAUUUAAAUAAAAAGAUAUCAUGCAUAAAUGAUUUGUAUUAUUAACUUUGAUGAAAUACAUGUUAAUUUAUAUACGUAUAUUAUAUAGUUUUCUAAUAUUAACACGUGUUACCUACAUAUUACAUUUCAAAUAUAAAUACUUACAAAAAAUAAAAUAUAUAAAUUUGACAAUUUAAAAUAAUUUAAUCAUAUUUAGCACAAUAUAAUAAUUAAUAAUUUCUCUUAAAAUGAUUGAUUAUGAUUAUAUAAUUGAUAAAAUGGUAGAAUUUAUAUUUUUAAUAUUAUAAAAUAUAUAAAUGUAUAAUAUUAUUUCAUAACUAAUUUCGAAAUUAAUGAAAAUAUUUACAUAUAAUUUUUGAAAAUUAAGAUCUUGUUAAAAUCUUUUAAACAGACUUGUUAGAACUUUUAAAAUAUUUAUAUUUAAAAUGAAAAGAUAUCAAAAGAUAUUGUGAUUAACGUAGUUGAUGAUUCAUUUGGAUNNNNNNNNNNNNNNNNNNNNNNNNNNNNNNNNNNNNNNNNNNNNNNNNNNNNNNNNNNNNNNNNNNNNNNNNNNNNNNNNNNNNNNNNNNNNNNNNNNNNAUAUUGAGAAUAGAUGCAGCGAAGUAAAAAAAAAAAGAAAAACAGUCUACUUACAAGACAGGCUAAGAAGAGAUGGAACAUGUUCUGCUCCUCAUUACCAUUUUAUUGUGUUUGGCUUUCUCCGGGAGAUGCAUCGAUGCUUACAGCAGGAAUGAUUUCCCGGAGGGAUUCCUAUUCGGAUCAGCCUUUUCUGCUUUUCAGGUUUGUAGUUCGAGCAGGAAUGAUUUCCCGAAGGGAUUCCUAUUCGGAUCGGCCUUUUCUGCUUUUCAGGUUGGAGUUCGAACUAUUUUAUAAUGGUUGUUCCCUUUCUUUAUACUCGGAAAUGCAUUUUUGUUUUUGAUGAUCGGAAUAUGAUUUUUUAUAACUUUUAAGUGGGAAGGAGCGGUUGAUGAAGACGGGAGGAUGCCUAGCAUAUGGGAUACAUACAUUCGCUCUAGUAAGCUCCACACAAAGCAAAUUUGAGUUAGAAUUUCACAUGAGAUUUAUGUUUUCAAGGAAUUUUGGUUCUCACAAUGUAAGGUUUGGUUAUUAACGAUGUAGAUAACGCACCUAGCGGAGAUAUAGCAUGUGAUGGGUAUCAUAAAUAUAAGGUAUGUGCAUGCAUUCAUGUUGUUUUGUGCUUUGUUUGGUGCUCAAACUUUUUUGACUCAAUGAACAGUGAUAUGUUUCAGGAGGACGUAAGGCUGAUGUAUGACAUGGGUUUAGAUGCAUUCCGACUCUCCAUCUCGUGGUCGCGACUUAUACCAGGUGUGUGCAUACGAAUCUAGGAAUAUUUUAUACCGACAAGUAUUUAAUUAAUAUAUAUAUUAUAUAUUUUAAUAAAUAAAUAUUAAACUAAUAAUUUAAAAUGUUAAAAUUAAUAUUUUAGAAUAUAAUGUUAAAACUAAAAUUAAAAUAUUUAUCUUACAGAAUGCAGUAGUCUAUAAAAAUUUGUUUGGAAAAAUAGAAAAUUUUGUUUUUCUUACUUUUUUUAUUUUAGAACAAGAUUUUUUUUAACAAGUUUGUUAAGAUUUUAUCGUUCAGUUAAAUUUAUUAAUAUUUUCCUAAAUGAUUUUUUUUUUCCUUUUGAACUUUUUCUAUAUUAUUUAAUGAGAAAAAUUACAAACGAUAAUGAAUGCAUAUAAAAAUUUAGCUUAGAAAUACAUAACAUUUCUUUUGGAAAAUUAUGGGUGCAUGUGCGCAUUCUCCCACUUUAUGCUAUCUUUGUUUGGACUCCAAUGUUGUUACCUUCGUCAAGUUUUAAAUGUAUUUUUGUUCGUUUGGUUUUAAGGUGGAAGAGGACCUGUGAAUCCAAAGGGUUUACUAUUCUACAAAAACCUCAUUGAUGAGCUCACAAGACAUGGUAAAUUGGUAACAUUAUGCGUCUCAUCAUGACAAUUUGGUGUGAUUAUGCCACGUGUCUUGGAACAACACAAACUGAGUUUGGUAUGGUUACAGGAAUUGAACCGCAUGUUACGUUGUAUCACAAUGAUCUUCCUCAGGCUCUUGAAGAUGAAUACGGAGGAUGGAUUGACCGCAGAAUCAUGUAAAGCCAACAUUUUCUUCCAUCUACAUUGAUCUCGUUGUAACUUGUUAAUUGAAGUGUGUUCUUAUAUAUAAAUGGGAUGUUCUGUUGCAGCGAUGACUUCACAGCUUUUGCAGACGUUUGCUUCAGAGAGUUAGGGAACAAAGUGAAAUUCUGGUCAACAAUUAAUGAACCCAAUAUGUCAGCAUUGGGAGGUUACGACUUGGGAUUUAUGCCUCCUGAGCACUGUUCUCCUCCAUUUGGACAUGUCAACUGUUCCAGAGGAAACUCUUCAACUGAGCCAUAUAUUGCGGUCCAUAACAUGUUGCUUGCACACGCAUCUACAGCGAGAUUGUACAAGCAAAAGUAUAAGGUACGCCAUGUCACAAAUACACGCACAUAUAUCCUUAAUAUAUUGAAUGCUCGCUUUACCUCUCUCGUUCUUGGUGUCUCUUGUGUGAUGGGUGUAGGGUGAACAGAAUGGAUCAGUUGGUAUGACAUGCUUUUCAUACUGGGUAGUUCCUUUUAGUAGCUCAAAAGAGGACGAGAUGGCAACUCAGAUAGCCAAAGAUUUCUUUUUAGGCUGGUUUGUUAAACACACUCUUGUUGAAAUAAUUUACUUUCUUCUUCAGCUACUCUAAUGAACGUUUUCAUUUCGGAAUUCAAGGAUUUUGCACCCACUGGUGUUUGGGGACUAUCCAGAUACGAUGAAGAGACUGGUGGGCAAGAGAUUGCCAAGUUUUUCGGAAGAAGAAACAAAAGUCGUUAAAGACUCGUCUGACUUCAUAGGAGUCAUACACUAUACUACAAUGACCGCCGCACACGUAUCCACUUUCCAACAAGGGGAUUUUAGUGCAGACAUGAAUGCUUUAGUUAGCCGUAUGCUUUUCUUACCUAUGUUUUGUCCAUCUACCAUGCAUGAGUUCCAUAGUUGAUUCUUUUUUUUCUUGGACAGCCUUUGGGAAUUCUACACUGGUCAAGGUGUGUUUUCAGAGCUAAUAUUAUGUAACCCUUCUGAAUCACCAUAAUUAUUGUAAUGUUGAGUUUCAUGCUAUAUUCACAGUAUGAUGUGCUACCAUGGGGUCUUGAAGGAGUGUUGGCAUACAUAAAGGAGAACUAUGGCAAUCCACCUGUCUACAUUCUUGAAAACGGUCUUUAUCUCUCUCUCUCUUUUUUUGUCCUUGACUUAUUAGUUUCUAAAACAUUACAAAAUAUUGAGAGUUUCCUUUUAACUAAAUACUACAACCAGGUCAAUCCACCAACCACUAUUCAUCACUUGACGACGUGGAAAGAGUUGAAUACCUUCAGGCUUAUAUCGGUGCUGUACUUGAUUCAGUGAGGUGUAACUAUGAUCCGUGAAAAAAAAAAUUGGUCCUAUGUCACACUUAUAACUAAUACUAAACGGUGGUGAAUUAUGUAUGCAGGAAUGGCUCAAAGACGAAAGGCUACUUCCAGUGGUCGUUUAUGGAUUUGUACGAGUUUCUUGAUACCAAUUACACAUAUGGAUUAUACUAUGUGAAUUUCAGCGAUCCGGAACGUAAAAGGUCUCCGAAGACCUCUGCCUUUUAGUACUCUGCUUUUCUCAAAGGGAUGGUCGUUGGUUCACAAGACCCGAAAAACGUCUCCGUAUCUUCUUCUACUGGCUUUUCUUCUCAGUAAACUAAAGAUUGAAAAACGGUUUGGUUUUCUUUAUUCAACAAUGGAUGUUAAGCAUGUGCACCAAUAAAUAAAGGAAAGUUUUCCCAUGAAAGUAGAAUGUAUUCUGCUAGUUCUUAAGCAUAUAUAUAUAUAUAUAUGUUUUUGAAAUAAUCUUGGUAGGGAUUAAAAGCUUAAGUGGUCAAUUAUAAAAGCAAUCUUUAAUAUACUAGAUUUUAUCUUCUCUUUAAGCGCAAAUCUGCAAUAAUAAUUUAGUUUAUUUUUAUAAUAACUUGAAUUUAAAAAAUGCAAUAAUUUAUAUAAACUUUAUUUUCUGUUGUAGACAUGUUCUUAAGACAUUUUAUCAUAGAAUUUUGAAGCUAAAUUAGCCGAUUAUUCCCCCCCCCCCCAACCUCAGAAGAAAGCUGAUCUAACCUCUCUUUUUUUAUCUUCCGUACGACUUAUUUAUUUAUAUUUCCCUAGACAUAUAUAAUAAUUAACGUUAUGUAAUUUCAAUAACAUUCUCUAGGAGGACUUUGGUACUUAGAGCGAUCAGUGCAAUAGUCAUAGUUCAUGUACUUCUUCCUGAUAUGCUCAUAGAUUUUCUGUUCGUAUCCGCUUAGCCUUUGAUAUUUGCCUCCAUUCCACCAGUAGUUGGAAGAUCCACAAGUGGCAACGUUAUCACUCCGACCAUCUAUGUAGCAGCCUGACAGGCCGGAAAAGUCUUGGAAAUGGGCAAUGAAAGGAGAGUAUGCAUAGUUAAUCUUGGUCCGACCGCCAUCAGUUGCCCAAGCGUCACCGUUCCAGAGACUGGCCUCUACUUGCAUCGGCUUUGAUGGAUAGUUAACGCCGUUUUGGUUCUUGUAGACUCUUAUUGGGAUGUUGUCAACAUAAAACCUAUCAUUCAUACCAUCCUUAAUCUUGAUUUUAUUCUUAAGGAACAAACAAAAUUAUCAUUUUUCAUGAAAUGGAUAGAGAAGAUAACAGUAAGGACUGUAACAAGAACGUACACAAUUUGGUAAGGGUUCCAAAGAAUCCCAUAAGUGUGGUAAUGUUUGAUGGGGUUAAACCAAAGCAAGAACCUCUCUUCUCUGUUUCCUUCUCCAUUCGCAAAGACAUUUGUCUGUAACGUUAUGGGUUUUCCAUCAUUGUUCCCUAAGAACUCGAAGUCAAUCUCAUCGUGAUUACUUCCCAACGAAGUCAACUGUCAUUAUUUACAUAUAAAGACAGUUAAAUAAAUAUGAAUGUUGAGUUAGUCAUCUACACAUGUAUAUUAUCAAUCAUACAAACGAACAUAAAAAGCGGUGACGACACCGCCAGAAUUUCCUCCGGGCACUUUGAUCCUCAUUUGGAAGAGACCUGAUCCGUAAAUGUUCUUGGAUUCGAACCCGGCACCUGUUUCACGUACGUAGAAGCCAAACCAGUACUGUCACUUCAGUAAUAUUUAAUUAGAGAAAAAGACAAGUAUAGCACCAAACCAAGUUUUUGUUCCCAAAAUAGCAAUCAAGGCUCAAAGUCACAAAAAUAGCUUUCAUUAAAAAGGUAAAUAUACACUUAUACCCCUUGGGUUAAUUAAUCCAAACCUUAGGGUUUAGAGUUAAGGGGUGGGGUUUUGGAAUUAGGGUUUAAAAUUUUAUAAAAAAUAAAUACUAAAAUAAAAAAUAAAAAUUUUAAAAACAGUUUCAAAAAAUAUUUUUAAAUUAUAAAAAGAAAAUUUGAAAAAAAAUAAAAAAAAAAUUUCGAAAAAAAAAUUUCAAAAAAAAGUUAUAAAAAUUUCGAAUCUGAAAACAUAUAAUCUGAAACUAUAAAAAAAAUUUAUUUUUUGUUUUUUAUUUUUUUAUUUUUAUUUUUUAUUUUUGUUUGUUUAUUUAAUUUUAAACCAAGGGUAUUAGAGAUAUUUUACUCUUUAAUGAAUGUCAUUUUUGUGACUUUCUCCUUCUAGUACUAUUUUUGAGACAUAAACUUCAAAAGGUGCUAGUAUUGACAAUUGCCCAUUUAAUUACACACCAUAUGAUCAUACUUGCCUGGUCACUAAUAAAUAGAACCCUUUGGAGUUUGGACUAUACAAUUUCUUGUCUUUUUGUAUUUUUAUAAGAGGAAACAAAAGAAAGAGAUACUAACCUGAAGACUGAUCCAUGUAGAGAUCAACUUCUUUGCCAGAGUGAAGUGUGGAAAUAUGACCUUGACCCCAUUUAACAACAUAGUUCUGACCGAAAGUAACAUAUUUCUCGACUCCUCUCCCUCCGAUAAACCUAGCAUCAACCAUUGUUAUCCAUGACCAUAACGCUACUGCAAAAACACCAAAGAUUUUCGUAUGUAUCAUCUUGGUUUGGUUUUUCUCUGAGGUACUAUAGUGUUGCACCUAUACAAGCUGGUUUAAUAAGGUUGAAAAAGUGGAAAGCAUGAAAGAUAUGGUGGAGACAGAGAGAUUAGAGUCACAUCAAAUUCUCUAUACAUCUCCUACACGCCAGUUCUUAUUGUCCCAUGCCCAUCACCAUUCUCUCUUUCUUUUUCUUCGAGAUGUAGUUAUCCAUUAAAUAUUCUUUUCUACAAUAGCGCUAUUAUGAGAAGUAUGUUGCUUCGAUCGACUAUGGAUAUCACUUAUAUGAUUUUAGGUGCGUGGAAAAUUUGAUGGAGUUAGAAUAUAUGCAUAUAAGAAAUGUUAAGAUUAUCAAGUUUUGUUACGUGUUGAUAAAAAAAAAAGAAUUAAGUGUUGUUACGUCAACUUGAAAAUACACAAGACAGCCUAAAAAUCAUAGGUUUAAUAACCCCUGCUAAUAAAAUAAAAACAAACGUUAAGAUUAGUUGUAGUUCUAAAUUUGUGUUCUCUUUCUUUUUCGUAUUGAGUUAAUGAAAAGACAAGAAUCUAUGAUCUAUCGUAUAGUGUUCCGAACAUGACUGUAUAGAAGUUUGAAUUGUAUAGAGACGGGUGUGCAUGUUCUAGAUGUGCAAAGCUUCAUAUUUAAUGCUCAAAGACUUCCCUAAAUUAGUACCAAAUUCACGAAAGUGAUGGAUGAGAUUUUAGAACCUUAAUUAUCUACCGACAAAAAAAAAAGCUUAAUCUUUCAUUGUUUUUUAAAAAAGAAGCUUAAUUAUCUUUUCUAUUAAGCUGGAGUCUCGCAGUAUCUCCAAAUUAUUAUUAUUUUUGAUGCAUUUUCACUCUGAUUGUAAUAGUGGUUCAAAUCUCGUUGAGAUGGGAUGUUUUACUGUCCACCUGUCGAAAUCCUCUAGUAACAUUACUUGACUCGAGCAAAAAAGCUGAGACUGACGAAAAAAGUUCAAGAAAGAGAGUAUAAUGUAAGUUAGGUCGCUGGAGUUUACACAUAUAUCUAUAUGCUCGUCUCCUCCAUUAACCACCAACAGAGUAAAUUGGUAAACCUCUAACCGGCACCAAAUUGAAUCCUUAGGGUUUCCGCGCAUCGAAAACUGUAGAAAAUUAAGCUGGCAAUUGGAGCUUUUUGUUGUUCUUCCAGCUGCAAACAUAAAACAGAAGAGAACAGUCAAAGGCAGAAGUAGAGUUAGGAACAAAAGGAGAGGAUAAGGUGAUGGUUUUACCUAAGGAAAUAAUAGUAGAAGAAGUCGGCAUAGAGCAAUGUCUGGACAAGCCCCGCGAUCCAUGCUGCAUCAUCGUAAUCACACAGUCCAUUUUAACAUGCCAGAUAUACAAAGACCAGCGGAUAUUCCACAAAGAAAACAGUGAAGGACAAUGAGAAGGAGUGAUGCAUAUUCAGGACAUAUGCUUUCUACAAGUUUCAUGUGGCAAAGAAGCUACAUAUAUGCUGCAUCUAUUGAAACGCUAAAUUAAGCUAACAAUGAAGAAGGUUAAGAGAGAGAGAGAGAGAGAGUCAUACUUAUCCAGUGAACAAAGUGGGGCUCAGUGAAGUAACGGUAGAUCCAGUUUAGGAUGUACAAUCCCCUGUACCCACUGCAAGAAGAUGACAAUCAAGAGAAGUCAAAGGAAGAAGAAGCAAUAGGUAAAUAUACACUUAUACCCCUUGGGUUAAUUAAUCCAAACCUUAGGGUUUAGAGUUAAGGGGUGGGGUUUUGGAAUUAGGGUUUAAAAUUUUAUAAAAAAUAAAUACUAAAAUAAAAAAUAAAAAUUUUAAAAACAGUUUCAAAAAAUAUUUUUAAAUUAUAAAAAGAAAAUUUGAAAAAAAAUAAAAAAAAAAUUUCGAAAAAAAAAUUUCAAAAAAAAGUUAUAAAAAUUUCGAAUCUGAAAACAUAUAAUCUGAAACUAUAAAAAAAAUUUAUUUUUUGUUUUUUAUUUUUUUAUUUUUAUUUUUUAUUUUUGUUUGUUUAUUUAAUUUUAAACCAAGGGUAUUAGAGAUAUUUUACUCUUUAAUGAAUGUCAUUUUUGUGACUUUCUCCUUCUAGUACUAUUUUUGAGACAUAAACUUCAAAAGGUGCUAGUAUUGACAAUUGCCCAUUUAAUUACACACCAUAUGAUCAUACUUGCCUGGUCACUAAUAAAUAGAACCCUUUGGAGUUUGGACUAUACAAUUUCUUGUCUUUUUGUAUUUUUAUAAGAGGAAACAAAAGAAAGAGAUACUAACCUGAAGACUGAUCCAUGUAGAGAUCAACUUCUUUGCCAGAGUGAAGUGUGGAAAUAUGACCUUGACCCCAUUUAACAACAUAGUUCUGACCGAAAGUAACAUAUUUCUCGACUCCUCUCCCUCCGAUAAACCUAGCAUCAACCAUUGUUAUCCAUAACCAUAACGCUACUGCAAAAACACCAAAGAUUUUCGUAUGUAUCAUCUUGGUUUGGUUUUUCUCUGAGGUACUAUAGUGUUGCACCUAUACAAGCUGGUUUAAUAAGGUUGAAAAAGUGGAAAGCAUGAAAGAUAUGGUGGAGACAGAGAGAUUAGAGUCACAUCAAAUUCUCUAUACAUCUCCUACACGCCAGUUCUUAUUGUCCCAUGCCCAUCACCAUUCUCUCUUUCUUUUUCUUCGAGAUGUAGUUAUCCAUUAAAUAUUCUUUUCUACAAUAGCGCUAUUAUGAGAAGUAUGUUGCUUCGAUCGACUAUGGAUAUCACUUAUAUGAUUUUAGGUGCGUGGAAAAUUUGAUGGAGUUAGAAUAUAUGCAUAUAAGAAAUGUUAAGAUUAUCAAGUUUUGUUACGUGUUGAUAAAAAAAAAAGAAUUAAGUGUUGUUACGUCAACUUGAAAAUACACAAGACAGCCUAAAAAUCAUAGGUUUAAUAACCCCUGCUAAUAAAAUAAAAACAAACGUUAAGAUUAGUUGUAGUUCUAAAUUUGUGUUCUCUUUCUUUUUCGUAUUGAGUUAAUGAAAAGACAAGAAUCUAUGAUCUAUCGUAUAGUGUUCCGAACAUGACUGUAUAGAAGUUUGAAUUGUAUAGAGACGGGUGUGCAUGUUCUAGAUGUGCAAAGCUUCAUAUUUAAUGCUCAAAGACUUCCCUAAAUUAGUACCAAAUUCACGAAAGUGAUGGAUGAGAUUUUAGAACCUUAAUUAUCUACCGACAAAAAAAAAAGCUUAAUCUUUCAUUGUUUUUUAAAAAAGAAGCUUAAUUAUCUUUUCUAUUAAGCUGGAGUCUCGCAGUAUCUCCAAAUUAUUAUUAUUUUUGAUGCAUUUUCACUCUGAUUGUAAUAGUGGUUCAAAUCUCGUUGAGAUGGGAUGUUUUACUGUCCACCUGUCGAAAUCCUCUAGUAACAUUACUUGACUCGAGCAAAAAAGCUGAGACUGACGAAAAAAGUUCAAGAAAGAGAGUAUAAUGUAAGUUAGGUCGCUGGAGUUUACACAUAUAUCUAUAUGCUCGUCUCCUCCAUUAACCACCAACAGAGUAAAUUGGUAAACCUCUAACCGGCACCAAAUUGAAUCCUUAGGGUUUCCGCGCAUCGAAAACUGUAGAAAAUUAAGCUGGCAAUUGGAGCUUUUUGUUGUUCUUCCAGCUGCAAACAUAAAACAGAAGAGAACAGUCAAAGGCAGAAGUAGAGUUAGGAACAAAAGGAGAGGAUAAGGUGAUGGUUUUACCUAAGGAAAUAAUAGUAGAAGAAGUCGGCAUAGAGCAAUGUCUGGACAAGCCCCGCGAUCCAUGCUGCAUCAUCGUAAUCACACACAGUCCAUUUUGACAUGUCAGAUAUACAAAGACCAACGGAUAUUCCACAAAGACAAUGAGAAGGAGUGAUGCAUAUUCAGGACAUAUGCUUUCUACAAGAUACAUGUGGCAAAGAAGCUACAUAUAUGCUGCAUCUAUUGAAACGCUAAAUUAAGCUAACAAUGAAGAAGGUUAAGAGAGAGAGAGAGAGAGAGUCAUACUUAUCCAGUGAACAAAGUGGGGCUCAGUGAAGUAACGGUAGAUCCAGUUUAGGAUGUACAAUCCCCUGUACCCACUGCAAGAAGAUGACAAUCAAGAGAAGUCAAAGGAAGAAGAAGCAAUAACACUAAUCAAAGAAAGCGAGCUUGUUGUACCCAAGGAGAAAAAUGUAUUGGCCAGUCAAGUUAUCGAUAUUUCUAGUCCUUUGCAGCAAGACAAGCUGAGGUAAUAUAGCAACAGCUUCCAAGUACAAUGAAAACGUCCAGAGCACCUCAAGAAAGGUGAACUUCUCGUGGAUGAGAAGAGCCAAGACAAGGCAAGGAAGCACAAGGAACCAGUGGCGAAACGUAUCCUGCUCCCUGUCGUAAGUCCUGUGGACAGCCUUAUGGUACCUCAUGUACCAGACAAUCGAAAAGGAGCUUCCUAAGAAGACCAGCUUCAUGAAGGUGUUGUAGACAGACACGAAGCUCGUGAAAAUGUCCAAGUAACGCGUAGCGAACACAAUGGCGUAGAGCUCUUGCGUCCUCAAUGACACACCUGCAAGUUAAUUAACCGUUACAAACGAAUCAUUCAGAUCAUACGGUCAACGUCAAUUUUAACCUAAACUUAUCAUCGGAAUGGGAAAUGAAGAUACCGGCGCAGGAUUUGAUGGUGUGGAUCUUGAGGAGCAAGACGAGAACACUGGCCAGGUGAGUCAUAUCACCUGCUAAUCUGAAAAUGUUCAUCUUCUUUCGAUCUCUCUCUUCUUCCUUCUCUACACCACAAUCCGGGUUCGGCUCGUGCUAAGAUAGAUCUCGUUGGUGCCGUUUCCACAAACUUCUUCUCCCGUGUUUUUGCUUUUUUUCCCUCUGGUAAUGAAAGCCCAUUACUUCUCGUUGUGGGCUUUGUUCUUUUGGGUAACGAUAUCUUAUUACCCUACCCGAUUUUAUCGGUUUCAUACCUAACCGGUGUGUAUUUUGAUUAACCGAAAAUAAAAUAUACUUGCGUUUUAUUACCUGCCUUGUAAAUCUUCAAAACACGGUUUCAAUAUCAAACAAUUCUAUCACUAUAACCUGUUUGAUUUUCUCUGUGUCAACUGGUUACAUAGCAUAAUUAAGAACAAACUGGAUUGCAAAAUGGCUAUAUCCUAUAUGUUGUGAAUAAUGUCGAAUAAAUCAAAAAUAAAAUUCAAACUACUAUGGCUGAAAUUCAUUAUCAUACUAGCUAGUUUGAAUCGAUUUUGAUCUGAUUUUACAUAUAGUCAAGCAGAUAUCUAGAUACAAAAGAUCUAAUCAGAAUAUCCUACAUCGAUAUAUUAAAUAAAAAAUACAGUUUUUACCCUAUACAAAAUAUGGCAAUUCUCCUAAAACACAAGUUUUUAUCAAACACACAAGAAAAUGAUCAAAAUGUCAUUCAGUGAAGAGCAAAAAAUACUAAGUAAUCUUAAUAAUAAUACAUUUAAUAUAGCUACAAAUAUAAAAAUAUUUUUAUUUUAAAUUUUAUACCAUAGAUGUUAGAGCCAUUUGCACAGAAAAUAGUCAAUAAUUAUGAAAUUUGCAAGGAUAGAAAAGGGUAGUGGAAUCCAACAUUAGUAGGUCUAAAAUACACUGAUGGCCCUAUUAUUCAUUUUGUUAUGUUAAGAGGCAAGAGAAUCCCGUAGAAAUGAUUUUCUUAUGCAAAAAAAAUAGUAGACCCCACUAUUCAAGAAAUAUUAUUUUAUUUAAAAUAUUAUUCUGUUUUCUUUCUUCUCUUGUUUUACUUUUCUCUCAUUUUCUCAAUUUUCUUUAUUAGCUUUCAUAAUCUUCUUAUUUCAACUAUAAUAUUUACUAUUAUUACCAUAUGUAAUCUGUUCACAUAGCUUGCUAACAACGUUAUCUAUCCCGUCUAAUAAAAUAUAUAACCGUCUAUUAUAUUUGGUGCUCAUAUAGCUUGCUAACAAAAUAUGAACCAUUUAAUAAAAUACGAGGGUGUCUAAUAAAAUAUGUAACUGUCGAAUGACCCACUUGGCUACAUCGCACGAUUGAAAGAUUUGGGGUUGAUUCGCGAGGAUGUUUCUGUAAGUCUAAAAUGUUUGGGGUCAAAUUGAAAAGAACUAGAACGCCAGGGACAUGUCGUGCAAAAAAAUAGAAAGUCACCAUUGGAUAGAUCAACCUUUCUCUUCGCCGGAUCUUGAGCUUGAUGGAGAUGGCAAGGAGGAGCACGAUGGCAGUGCUUGAAUCCGAGCAUGACGACGUCGGUAGAGCAAAGCGACUAAAGAUCCGGUGACGAAGGAGUACGCCGUGUAAAUUUUGCAGCGGUCUCGCGACGGUCUCGACGUAAACAUAGGUGGAAGGUGAAGCACCGUCGUGAAGGGAUAAGCUUGACGGCGUACAUUCUGACGCGGCAGUGGAUGGAAGAAGUCGGAGCUCAGGUUCAUGGCGAGUCGGAGGUGGUUGCAGAAGAGGACAAGUGAAUCGAUGUGAAUUUUAAAUGAUUUCCGAUGUAGAUAUAAAAGAAGGUUAAAAGUUUCAACGGAGAACACAUUGUGGACUUACAAACAUAGCGGAGAAUAGGGGAUCAGGUGGACUUCAUAAUCUUUUAACUAAGAGUUUGACGGAGAAAACAAUGUGCAUUUUUUAGAUGAAAAAAGAUGUAAGAGAAGAAGAACUGAAGAGUAUCGAUUAGUGUGAACAUGCAACAACUCUUUGUUGUACAUGUUGCGUAUUAUAGGUUAGGUAGGUGUUUAUUAGACCAAUAUAAUAUACGUUGUAUUGUAGCAGGAAUAGGGAUAGAAAUGUCAUUUAAAAAAAACACAUCAGCAAUAAAAACAACUUCCAUUUGUGCAAAUUAUGGGGUUAUGUUUGUAGACAGAGUACAAUUACUCUAAAAUUUAAGUCAUACACUCUAAACUCUAAAUUCUAAACAUCCAUCCACAAAAAUCUAAAUCAUAAUUCUCAACCAAUUAACCUUAGUGAUAUGUGUAUAUUUAUAUAUUUUAAUGAAUGCUAGUAUGAUCAUUUUUUUUAUCUGUGUUAUUUUUAUGUCAUCGUGGGGGUAUUUCUCUUGUUUCAAAAAAUAUAAUUUUAUAUAUAAUUUAUUUAUUAAUUUAAACUUAUCUUGCAUUUUUACGGUCUUAAUAUUUUAUAAAUAAAAUGAUCUAAUAUUUUUUUCAAUCUGCCUUUUUCUUGAUAUAUAUUUACGUAUUUGGUCGUACAAUAAUCAAAAAUAGUAAUCAUAUAAAAAUCAAUAGAAAUAUAAUUAUUAUUUAUUAUAAUAGUUUUUUCUUGUAUAUAAUGGAUACAUUAAAUAUCAUAUAUUUUCAUUUUUAUUAUGUAUAUUAAAUGAAUUAAUAAUAAUUUAAUAUAAAAUACAAAAUACAAAUUAUGUAGUUAAUUAAAAGUACAUAUUAAAAUUAUUACUAUAAUACAAAGACAUAUUCAUUCAAAAUUCCAAAUAGAUUUUGAAAUAUUUUAAUUAAGAUAAAAUGUGUAAAAUAUUAGAGUAUCUUUUUAUUAAAUUGAAAAAAAAUCAAAUUUUACAUAGCCGGAUUAUCAUGAUAAUAUCUUUUCUUUUGCCAAAUGGAUAGUUACAUGGACAAGUACAAGUAGGAUAAUGUGAGAGGGAAGUGUUGCCAUAACUUCACAAUAAAUUGUAUGGUAUGUAGGCUUGUUUUUAGAUAGUCAUUCAAAAUACAUUUAUGGAGUAUAUAUGUGUAAAAAUAAUUAAAUGUAGAGUUCUAAUUUAUGCAUUGGGGUUCUAGUUUAAAUAUGCAUAUCAUUGUUAUUUGAACAUCAAAAUUUGGUUUUUGGUGAUUCUAAUUUAUGCAUUAUUAUUGUUUGCAAUUGCAUAGUUGGCAGCAAUAAAGUGAAUGUCAAAUGUCUGAAUGGUUCGGAGAUUUUCGUAUUAAUAAUCAGACAUAUAAAAUAGUUUGGCAAUUACAAAGAGUAAAGAGAUUGUUUAAACAAGGUCAUCUAUGAAAAAUCUACAGCAGGUGAAACCAAUAAGAACACAAAAGAUUCAAGACCAACUGUUUCUUUAUUAAGAAUCACGUAAACAAUCUUUUACAAAGACUUGUCUAAUCCGAAUUACACAACGCCACACGCGGCUUGUCACAGACCAAUUCUUAAUCUACCCUUUGCGUGAACCAAGCUCUGUAGAUCACGUUUACAAAUCACUCACUUCCUGAAACCCCAAAACCCAUGUUUGUCUUUCUGUGAGAAUAUAACGUUGAAAUCUUAACCUAAUCCUAAGUCUAAGCUUUCCUAUAUAUUGCCACCAAUUCUUUUCAAUUGUGCAAUAUCUCUUUUCCUAAAAAUCAGCAUCAACAAAUCUUCCAAUUUGUGAUCUGAGGAUAUUCUAGUUUGUGAAUCACGUCCAAACAAGAUCAGCCAAUGGAUAUUUAAAAAUUCUAUAAAACCCGUAACAACCGCUAAAACCCGAGAUCUGGUUAUCGGUUGAAUUGAUAAACGUCGAUGUGUUACACAUUAUCGUCCAUGUGUAACACAACAGCAGCACGCCAAACUUCAACAUUCUUUGAUAUGUCUGAGUCAUACUCCAAAGAACCAUAUCAGUCAACACUCUCUCUGUAUCAAUGCACCAGCAUGUCAAGCUCCAGAUCCCUGAGCUUACAAUCUAAACAAAGUCUUUUUGAUGGGAUUUAAGAUCAUCAAAAGGGGAUCUCCUCUGAAGAGAAGAGGUUGUCCAUGAUGAUUUGUGGUGGUGGUCGAUGUUGACGAUCUCUAAAUGUAGAAUGUUUAUACGAUUAUGACUGUCUUUUGAAUGAAUAGUGAUAGUUUUUCACAUCAAUACGAUUUGUCAGUCACAAAGGUCUAUUUUCUUAUAUAGGUUGGGCUUGAUUUUGGUUCUAACAUUCUAAUGAGUCUUGUGUUAGACUAAUCUCCAACAACUAUGAUCAUUUGGAAUGUUGUAAAUACUGAAAGCAUAUUUGUAUAUUUUCAGUGAGAGAACUCGAAUUAGUGAAAUAUUCCAAAGUGGUGAUGCAAGGUAAUGUUUUCGGACAUAUUCUAGUAAAUGAUGAGGACCAUGAGGUUGGUUUCAUGGGAAGGAGUUAAUGAUAGUAGAUAUGUUAUUGGCGUCAAAAUAAUCUCCGAGUCCAGAAAAAAAAUUUGAGAAGGCUCAAUAGGGCUGGGCAAAUAAACCGAACCCGAAAAUCCGAACCGAACCCGAUCCGAUAAAAAUGAAUCCGAACCGAUCCGAACCCGACAUAAAUACCGAAUGGAUCCUGUUUUUUGGUAUUUUGGGUUAUGGGUAUUAUCCGAACCGAAUCCGUACCUAAAUGGAUAUCCGAUAGAACCCGAAACAUUUAAAAUCACAAAAAGAACUUCUACCAAAUAUGAUCUUAAUUCUUAAUAUGUAUCCAAAAUACUUUAAGAUAUUAUUGAACUUCUAAAAUAAUUAUAUGUUACAUGAAGAUUGAUGGUGGAAUGUGGCGGUUGAUGCCUGAAGUUUUUUGAUUUUGGUUUUGUUUUUAUUGAAUAAUAUUUCUCAUUUCAUGAGAACUUAUUUUUUGUUUUAUGAUUUCAUUUAUCUGGUUUUCUUUCUAUCACUAACUAUGUUUAUCUUUUGCUUGAUUUUCAAUGAUCACGUUUGAUGUUUUUUCUUAUUUUUGAAUUGAUUUUACUUAUGUUUUGGCUAUUAAAAUAUGUACAAAUCAUGUAUUUUAAAUCCGAAGAACCGAUUUCAUUUAUGUUUUAGUUACAAAAUAGGUACAAAUCAGGUAUUUUUAAACUGAAGAACCGACUGGGACCCGAACCCGAAAGUACAAUGGGUUAUACCGGUUCUUUGAAGAUUUACUAACCCCGAUCCGAACCCGAUAGAACCCGAACCGGUCCCGAACCGAACUUUUAUAUAACCCGAAUGGGGUUGAUUUUGAUAAACCCGAAAAACCGAAACCCGAAUGGAUAAAACCGAAACCCGAUUGGGACCCCGAAUGCCCAUGCCUAAGGCUCAAGCGGAGCUUGGGUAUUUAACAUUGAUACUUCUUUAUGAGAUGUUUAAAGUAAACACUUCAAUUUUCUAAAGCUAUCAGUUAAAUCCAAUGUGUAACAAAGACACUUGUCUUAACACGCAGCAAGUAGAGUUGUUAACCAGUGUACCUCUCAGUUAGGUGAUUGUUGUUAGCCAUAAGUAUAGUCGGAAGAUUGUUCACGUCUUGAACGACCACAUAUUGAACAUCUUCCAACACACAUCAGUGACAGCAGAAUUAAAUAUGCAAUUUAUGGUCAACCAUAAAUUGUUUUCCUCUCCCAACUCCUCCAUUGUACUUUGAUUGCCAUAUUACCAAAUGUAAAAGAUAGAUAGAUGGGUUGGUGAAGUUUUUCAAUAAAAUGAUUUAUGUAAAUAAAGUGUAACUUUUGGUUUAUGUUUUCAUGUUUUAUAUGAAUAUAAAUAAUUUAAUUUCUUUUCCCAGUAUGUUUUUCAAUUUAAACUAAACUCUCGAGUAGUCUCUUCUAUUUGUCGUGUUCUACGAUGCUGAUUAAUGAUAUUUAGUGGUAAUAGUUUAACUAACAUUUUCUGGAAAAAUAACAGAAAAACGGUUAACACUUCCAUGAAUCUGAGAGAGAGAGAAUUCAACAAAGAGUUUCUCUUCAGUUUUCAACAACACAUUACAACAAGAAAUAAAACAACCUAAAUAUGAUAAUUAAAAGUGAAAAGAAAAUGGCUAAAAGAGAUCAAGAAUUUCUGAAAUGGAGGUGUUGCAUAGAGGACAGUUUCCUCUUUGAACCCAAAGCUCUCUCGAACACAACCUGCAGAACGUAUGACCACACGGUAUAAACGCUGCUCCUUUGCUUCUUACCAUACAAACACAACAGCUUAUCUCCGCGGCCGCCGCCGUCUCCUCCACCACUCCUCUCUCCUCUUCCUCCCCGUCUCCUCCUACUCCUACCAAGCUCAUUUGCCCUUCGUUCUCAUCCAACAACUCCAUCAACGACAUCCUCGCCGGCUGCAUGUCUGCCGUCACCGGCGGCGUUUCCUCUUCCCUCGCUGAUAACGCUCUCUCCUCCGCCAACACCGCUCCUAACUGUAACCUCCCAUCCGCCGUUACUCCGCCGCUGGAAGCAGACUCCGGUUGCGAUUGUCCUCCUUCGUUUCUGGAGUUGGAGAGGAGAGAACCGAGCUGGUGACUGUCAUUAUCCCGGUUAAGGACAGGAGUAUUCAAACUCGGGAUAGGAUUCGACGAGAUCCAAACGGUAGCAUUGCGUUUGAGGCGGAGCUUUUCGCGGAGAGACUUCCAAGCGGUCUUGUCUCGGUGGCUGCUGUAGUCGUGUCGGUGCUCUCUCUGCAUUACAUCAAGAAGUGUCCGAUUCGAUUGGUUCCUAGACGGCAGAGGCUGCGGCGGGGUUCCGUUUCUGUCGGCCAUUAGAAUAGCUUCGAGAGUCAACCCCGGUAACGAGCUCCGGCCAGUCUCCAUACAAUCUAGUAACGUCACUCUCAGCCUAUCACCACCGUCCAUUUGCAUCAUCUUUUACGGAGUCAAGAGAGAAUAUAGAAUGAGAUUGUGAACUGAAAAACAACGAAAAAUAGCGUUAAAAAACAAAAUCGAAGAUUUUCUCGGGAUAAUCAAGGAGUGGAAUAAACUUAGUAAUCUCAGCUUUCCUAACUCAGAUAUCUAGGAAACUGAAAUCGAAGCUAAAAGAAUCAGUAUCAACCCCUAGAUGAAAUCUUCCCGAGAAAAAAAAAUUUCCCAUGAAAAAACAUUCAAAAAUUAAAAUCUUGCUACCAUCAUAUAUAAAAAAAAUGAAUUUUGCUGACCUUUUAAUUCAGACUCAUUUUACUAUUCUCAGCUUCAAAGAAAACCAUAGCUUCCUGAGAAAAUUUCUAGAGUUUCUUACACUGAACAGAUGAACACUUUGGCUUUCUUCGUUUGCAGCAGAAUCCGAAAUCCAAGAGCAGAUCUGUAAUAAAUAGAAUAUACUUUUAAACUAUUCUGGCAAAGAGAGAGAGAGAGAGAGAGAGAGAGAUUAAUUCCGAUUCUUCUACUUUUUUAAAGAUCAGUGUCAGACAGCAAUCAUAUUACUUCACAGAAGAAUAUAUAUAUAUGUAUAUCUACGGAUAGCUUCUUUUUUUUUUUUUUGGCGAACUACAAAUAGCUUUAUUUACAUAACAUGAUUGAUACCUUUGAAGUUGAACUCUUUUCUUCUCGCUUUAUCUUUAUGUGAAAGAAGGAGAGUAUAUAAAAAAAGGAAAAAAAUGUGUACAAGCACGAAGACGCCCACGAUUGGUGGUGUUGGUGUAACGGGUAAACGUUAUUUACUGUACCAUGAGGUUUUGUAAUUACUUAUUUAUCCAUCCAUUUACGUGUCUUUAUUGAUAAUUCUUUUGAUUUUUAGUGUUAUUUUCGUGUGGACCAUAAGGGUAUUUAUUACAGUUUUGGUCGCACACUACCGAAACUAACGAUGGAGAGUCAUUUGCUUGUCUGGAAAAGGAAAAUUUGUUAACCACAUGACAAUUGCAUUUGAUUCUUGUCGGUUUUUUCCAUUAACUUGUACUUCCACUGAAGUUAAAAUCUUAGUUUUGGACUCAACAUUUCAAUAUGUUUAGCUGAUUUUUAAUAAGAUUGUACAUUUCAAAUAUCGGGACAAAAUAUACAGAUAAGAGAUCGGGAGUAAUAAUUAGAAUACAAAAAGUAGUACUUAAAAAUAUAUCUAAUAAAAUAUGAGAUGAAAUUUUGAGUAAUUAGUUAGGACUUAGGAUAAAAAAAAAUACUAGGAGUCACAUAACAUACCUUUUGCAAUUUUCAUUAGAAUUGUUGUUUAAACCAUAAGUAAAAUUUGUUUUCGUCAGAAUUCAUAGGUGUCACAUGACCUCCUGCCGUAAUGGUUGCUCCGCUACUGAUUAAAAUUAUUAUCUAAAUAUGCAUUAAUUUGGAUAAAGAUUAAUUUAGUAUACGUAUUUUUGCUAUAUUUGAAUUUUUUUAAAAAUAUUAAAUUUUGAAAUACCUAUAUAAGUAAUUUGGAUUUUAAGUUUUAUGUCUGAUAUAAUUUAUAUAAAUCUAAGAAACUUCAAACGAAUAAUUAUUUCAUCAAAAUGAAUGUGAGAAAAUUUUGGAAGACCUAAAUUUCACCCACAUAACAUGUAUAUUUUGGAAAUUUUGUUGAUGUUUUCAAUUAUAGUAAUUGUCGUAUAAACAUGAUUUGCAUAGUACAUUUUAUUAUAUGUUUUUGUGAGUAAUAGUUGUUGGCCUUACAUUUUGUUUGUAAGUAGUUGGUGACGGGAAGCCCUUGUGUUAAUCUUAAACUUUAAGGAGUUGAUCGUUAGUCCAGAGGCUUGUGAAAGAUGAUCAUUAUAAGUCGUAAACCAUUAAUCUACAAGUUAAACCCGACAAGAAAGAAUUCGUCUAGACUGAGCCGGUUUUACAUUUGUAGUGCUUUCAGAGUUUUUAAUACUCUAUCCAUUUCAAAUUAUAUGAUGUUUUAGAAGAUUUAUGUUGUUUUAAAAUAUAUAAUGUUUUGAGAUUUUAAGAAUAAUUUUUACUUUAUCAGAAACUGUUCAACCAAUAAAAUUUUACGGUCUUUUUUUAUAAUUGGUUGAAUGAUUUUAAAAUUAUAUCUUUAAAAUUGCUUUAUAGAAAAAUAUAAUGUUUUGAACUUUGUGCAAUAAGCAAAACAUCAUAUAUCAUGAAAAGAUGGAUUAUUGAAUAGAGGAAACAGUCACCAAACAAUAACUACCCCUAACAACUUCAGUUAGGCUUAACCAUAUUUACGGACUAAUUAAUCCACUAAUGAGACAAAUAUGCUUCAUAUUUUCCAAGUUAUAGUUCAAUAGUUAGUUAGAGUUUUACUCUACACUUUCACAAAACAAAAAACUGAUUUAUAGUAACAAAUGAUAACGAGGGUGCCCCAUUUGUUCAAAACAUUUAAGGGCCCCAACACAUUGAAGACCAUCAUGUUGGAUCAAGACUAAUGGCCAGCCAUAACAUCAUUCGUACCAUGAUUUUCGGUUUGAUUGCCGUCAUUCUGAGAAUUGAGAUUCUUCAAAACAGUAUUUAUCCAAAUUAUCAUAUUUUCGACCGUGUAUAAUAUUCUUUCAUUUUCAAAGGAACAAGUAUAUCAUCAAUUAUAUGCUGUGUAAACAAGAUUAGUAAAAGCAUUGUUAUCGGUAAAUAUUUUUUCCCAAAUCUCUCAACUAUUUAAUAUCAAUAAAAAUAAAUACUAAAGUUAAAAUUUUAAAUCAAUAUUAUUAAAAGGAAAUAAAUUUUAAUAAAUCAACUUAAAAAGGUUGUUGGAUCUAUCUAUAUUUAUUACUAUUUAUUAUUUAACUGUUUAGCCAUAUAAUAGUUAAUCUAACUAUAACUAUGCAAUAUCAAUCAAUGCUUCGUACCCUAUAUUAUCUCCUAUAAUUAACCGGAAGUUAUAACUAAAUAUAUUUUAAUCACAUAUCGUUUUUCCACUUCGAGAUAUUCACAUUCUUCCAUAUUAUUAUUAUACUUUCCAUAUGCAAAGUUGUUCUGCGAUAUGUCAAUUAUAUAUAUAUAUAUAUAUUUAUAUUGAUUGUAACAUUAAGAAAAAGUGAAUUACUCAUGUGAACAUGAAUCUUAAUAGUAUUUAAUUACAAAUUUAAUUUAAUUAAUAGAUAAAAUAAGCCUAGUGUAUGCAUCUAAGAGAAAAAAAUAAAUAAUGAUCGUCACAAAACCUAUAAAUUAAAAUACAUAGCAUAAAUACAAUGUAUUUAUUAUUUGAUACGACAAAUUCAAAUAUUAUAAGUUUUUUUUUGUCGGAUCAACCGGUGUCGGUUUAUAGGUUAAUAACAAAUUUUUGGAUUUUAUCGUAUUUUUAGUUAAUAGAUUUUCAUUAUAUCCAAAUUUUGUAAAAACAUACCAAUUGGUAAAACCUAUAAUAGAAGAACAUAGUUAGUUUGGAUUAUAUACGGUCACCAGGUUUAGCGUUCGAUCACGGGUUUGGAUCAAAUAUAAAAUAAUGCUUAUAUUUUUUUCAUUUAUAAACCACAUAUAUACUCCACUAAAAUGAUUUAAAUAAUUUGUAAAAAUAGAAUAUAUUCUUCGCACUAUUUAAAUGUAGAUGUACUAUUAUCCCUCAUUAUUUGGUUUUAGUUUGGGUAUUUUGGUUUUAGGUGUUCUGAUUAUAAAAUUUAGAAACUGUUCAGGUAUUUACAAAGUUUAGUUUGGUUUCAAUUGGGUUGUUUAGUUCUUUGGCUAGGUUUAGUAGCAAAGUUGGAAAUGGCUAAUUUGCAGAAAGAUAUGGGUCCGAUUCAAUUCCGGUUUGAUUCUGAUUUUUGGGUGAUUUUUAUAAAAACAAAUCAGAUAAUUUGAGGGUUUUCAGUUUAGAUAUCAAGUAAUUUGGAUUAUUCAGAUAAAAUAAGGAUAAUUUAAACAUUUUGAAUAAAAAAUAUUUGGAUAAUUUGUUUUUCUGGGUAAUUUUAUUUAUAAAUAGUAUUGUUAGGGUAUUUGGUCAUUUAUGAAUUAAAUAUAAUUAAUAUAUGUAAAUAUAUAAUUUGCAUUUUAAAAUUCAGAAACCAAUUUGAUUCUCAGUUCGAUUUCAAUUUUCCGGUUACAUGCAUAUAUUAUCUGCUCGGUUACUUAUGAAAUUCAGUCCAAUUUUCGUUUUUUUUUAUUUGGUACAGUUUGAUUCGAUGUUCUAGAUAAGUAUGCUAAAACUUAUACACUAUCUUAUAGAAAUUCGUUUAAAACAAUUAUUUAAUUUCAAAAACAAAUCCGCACUUUUUAAGCGCAGAUCAAAAUCUAGUAAAAUAAUUAUAACCACUCACACCAUUACAAAUAAGUAUGAAAGUUUUUCAUGAUAUGUUUGAAUCUAUUAAACGACAGAUUCAGAUAUCAAAACAUAAAAAUAUUUAGAUCCAAGUCCCUAAGUCCAUAUUUAACUACUCAAAUCAAGAUUUGUAAGUUUUGAAUAUCCGUUUAAAAGUUAAGAUAUUCAAUAAUAUCCAAAUUCAAAUAUUUUUUAAAAUAUAUUAAGAAAGUUAAACAACAGUAAACUAAAACUUUAUAUAACAACAAGAUAUGAGCCCAUUGCGUUGCAACGGGUUUUUGUUUGAUGUUUUAAUUUAAUACUAGAUUUUGACCCGUGCUUUCAAAGCGCGAGAUUAUUUUCAAAACAUUCCAAAUUUAUUUGAUAUAUAUUUGUAUUUUAAUUGUAUCUACACUUAGAUAUUACAAAUAAAAAUUAUAUUCAAUGUUUUGAAAUCCGACCCGGCCCAGCAGUUAAAUAACCAAAUUCGGUGGUUCAUAUGUAAUCCAUUUUAGUUUUCAAAAAAAAAACUGUUAUUUAAAAAUUCUAUAAAACCCGUAACAACCGCUAAAACCCGAGAUCUGGUUAUCGGUUGAAUUGAUAAAUGACCCAAUAUGUAAUCCGGUUUGAUUUAUUAUUAUAUUUAGAGUAUUGUAAUAUAUAUUCAUGAACGUUCAGAUGAAUAGUGAAUAUAUUAUGAAAUUGAUAUUCCAAUUUUAAUACAAUUUUAGUCCAACUAAAAUUCAAUCUUGUUAAUGGAUUAAUAUUUGAGUGGAUGCAUACUAAAAAUAAAAUAGAUUUGAGCAUCAAUAAUGUGUAUACGUCUAUUACAAAUUAAUGAUUUACGUUUGCAAAAAAAAUAUAAUUGUGUAUUUAGUUAGUUUACUUUUGUUAUUCACAUAUUAUUAGAUACUUUUUGAUGUUUUGUAUAUGGCUUAUUUUAAAUUUAAAAGUUAAUUUCAUUAUUCGCAUUAGAAAUGUAAAUAUUUAUUAUUUUAAUUUUGAUAUAUAUUUUUAUUAUAUUUAGUUCUUAAUUUUUAUAAUUUAUAGAUAUAAUUAUAUUUUAAGAGAAUUAAAAUAUUGACUCUUACUCUCGGACUUCAAUUUAUGUUAAUGUAAUGUUUUAUGAUAUAUUUGUGUUAAUAUAUUUGUUCAAUUGGUUUAUAUUUGAUAUAUAUAUUACAUGUCUGUUUGAGUAACCCGUAAAAAAUAUAUUCAUUAAACUAUCAAUAGUAACAUGUUUCAUCAUAUAAUUACUAUUUAUAUUUAUUUUAUAAUAUAUAUUUUUAUAGAUAUAUAUUAAUACUCUAACUAUAAGAAUUAUAUUUUUAUGUAUUUGGUGAGGGUUUUGAACAAUUUGUUUUUUUUUUGCAUUUGGAUUAAUAUAUAGUUGUAUAUAUACGAAUGAAUAUAUAUAUAUAUAUAUAUAAUUAUUUAUUACAUUAAUAACUAAAAUAUAAUUGAUUAGUUAUUUGAAUUUCGAAUUAAUAUAAAUUAAAUUCAUUAGUUUAAAAAAUAAUUGAUUAGUUAGUUAGUUCCUUAAUUUUAGGUAUGAUAUAUAUUUAACAAUUAAAUUAGAUAUGAGUAGAAAUAAUAUGAAAUAUAAUUAAAUAUAAUGGUCCAACCUAGACUAUUUGUAAGUAAAUAAAAUUGCUUAUGUUUUGAUAGUAUUGAUAAAUCAUAAAAUAAUAAAUUAUUUUAUUAUAGUAUUAUGAUUUUUUUUUGCAUAUAUUGUUUGAGAUUUAUUUUAUAACUAGUGUUUGCCCUGUGCUACGCACAGGAAAAAAAAUCUUACUAAAAUAAACACAUUUAUUUUUUCUUACUAAAAUAAACACAAUAGCUUUAACAUAUAAGUUUAACAUGUAUUAAAAUUAAAUUUUUGGGUUAAAAGUGUACUAAACCACAUAGAUCAUCUCUUAAUAUUUUUAGGUGUCAAGAGAUGACAAAGAAUGUUAUAUAUAUUUGCAUAGUCAUAAAUUAUGUAUAAUAUACAUCUAGAAAAUAAUAACAAUUUACGGCAGUAAUAAAUUAAAAUAUCUUUGUUUACAUAUUACUUUAAUCUCCUCUACACAAAACACUGCGGAUAUGCUAUCAUCAAUCUUCACAUUAAUAAGGUAAGAUGUUCUAGCCUUUUUUUUAUUACCUUAUAUCCAUGAUAAACCAAAAAAUAUCACCCACAAAACUCAAUAACAUUGCAACUUUCCAUGGUUAACUGAAAGAAAAGUGAUAAAAUAUUUACUUUAGUAUUUCCAUGGUCUGAUUUUUAGAAUCUAUUUAUACAGCCUGGUUGUCCCUAACUUUUUUAUGAAUAAUCCACUAAAACGAACUUCAAGCUGAGUCAUACAAAAAGAAUAAGAAGAAUGACAUUGAGAAGAUAAAUUUGAAUUGGAAUAAAAAUAUUCAUAAUGCUAUCUAUUUGUUGCUAACACAAAACCCAAAAAAAAUUGAAGAGAUGAAACGAUUGAGAAUAAAGAAGGGAGUGCAAAUAGGAAAGAACUGAAUGCUAUCUAUUUGUGUUCAUUUUCUUUAGAGACAGUUUGUUUAUUUUUAAGACUGUUUUAUUUUGCGAUAGAUUCAGAUUUUUUUUUAUGUUGAUAACUAUCAAAUUAUAUGAUUUUAAUGUCGAUGAUUUACCCCUUCAGCCACCUCUGACGUUAUAGUGAUGAUUCAUCAAAUCUUGAGUUGAGCGGAAUUGCAAGUCUUUGUCAUCUUCUUUCACAUUUGUUCUCUCCAUCUAUAGCAAAAAUGUAAAAUAAUCUUUUAAAACAUAAUUGACAAAAACAUAGAAAACUGAUAUCUAUAAAUUAAUAAGCAAUAGGUUACGUAGUAGUGAUUAUGGUUGCACAAUGCACAUGGGUAAUAAAUAUAAACGUAAACGUUAUAUUAUUGUUGGAGGACUAUGAAACACUUACUUCUUCCUUUUGAUAACGUGAUGUACCUAUUUAUUUUGAUAAUUCAACCUCAAAUGAAAUGUAAAGAAAAAAGUUUGAAGGAUUUUGUUUGUUAGAGAUACAACGUAGAAGAAAGUGGAGAUGAUUUGAUACUUAUACAGGAGAUGAAGAAAACAGUUUCAGAGGAGGAUGUGAGUUAACGUGGGUAACUUUUUUUGAGAAAAAAUUGGAAUAUAGGUAGUUACAAAUUUUUUUUUUUUUGAACAAAAGGUAGUUACAAAUUUAAAUUGCAUAAAAAUAAGAGAUAAAAACAAAUCAAUUAAUUUUUUACAACUUUUCCACGUGGCAUUAUUUUAUUUGUCAGGCGACUUGCGCUUUAGUAUAUAAGGGAUUAAAACCCGUUUUCACUCAUAAGUUCAAGUUAAUAUUUUUGUAUUUUAUAAUCAUGGUGCAUAGAUGAGUUGUUAUAAACUUUAUACUCAUGAUUAGAGAAAAUAGUAUAUAUAAACAUUUAAACUGAACACAAUAUAAGAAAUGAAAAGUGAAAAGAAAUGAAAGUUAAUUAGGACAUCGAAAUUCCUGUGGAGGUUUUUGAGGAUGUUGCGCCACUAUGAAAGAGUUGUGUGGUUGGGUAUUUCAUGGGUGACUCGCCGUUUAUCGGAUCAAUUCAUUCUACGGUAAACAGGAUAUGGAGCUCUCAAAAAUCAAAGAUUGACGUCCAGUUCAUUAGCAAAAGAACAGUUCUCUUCAGGAUUGAAGAUGAGCUGGUGAGGAAGCGGGUCUUGAGGAGGAAGUACUGGCACAUUGCUAAUGUUCCAUUAGUGGUCAGUGAGUGGAAUCCAGAAAUGCUCAGGCUCCCCCAGAUCUUAGUGCUCUGCCUCUGUGGGUGGAUUUGGUGAAUGUUCCAGGCUACCUCUACUCGUUGGAUGGACUUCGUUUCUUAUCUCGUACUACAGGGAAAUUUGUGAAGCUCCAUCCAAACACUGAAAGAUGUGUGCAUAUGGAUGUGGCAAGGGUGUUGGUGGAGGUAAACUUGAUGAAACCGCUGCCUCAGAAAAUCUGUUUCAACAAUAGAGAUCAGGAAAUGGUCACUGUGCAGGUACACUAUCCAUAAAAACUGAACACAAUACCUAACCACAGGUACACUAGAAAAGGUCACUGUGCAGGUACACUACCCAUGGUUUUGGGAAGACUUAAUUUUUAAGCGGGAAAAUAAAAUAUAAACAGGAAAUUUAAGCGGAAAACUUAAAAUUUAAGUGAAAAUUCAAAACUUUAAAUCUCAUGAAAAUUCAAAAAUAUAUCUUAUGAUCUAAGAAGACAUAUUAAACCAUAUAACUUGAUAAUCUUGAAGUUACGUAACACUUUUGAAAGUUAAAAUAAAUAUCUUAAAGCUAAAUACUCGAAUUAGCUAGAAACAUUAUAAACACGAAUGUUGCUAACCUCAUAAUUAAUAUCAAUUAAUUUAUAAAUUUCAUUUAGAAGCCCCAAUAUCGAUUAAUAUACAUGAAUUAACAAGAAAAUGUUAAAAAGCCUUUAUAGUUUUAAGGAAAAUGAAAAUUUAUUAAACAUUAACGUAGAAGACUUCCACAAAAGUCGUCUGCCAGAAGAUUUCCAAAAAGUCUUCCAUUUAGGUCAUUUUUGCAAUUGAAAAUUUACAAAGGAAGACUUCCAUAGAAGUCUACUCUACAUCAAACUUCUUUGGAAGUAUUCCUUUGUAAAUAUCGGCUUACUUUUGUUUUUGAAAAAAUCUCGAAAAUACCAGAGAAGACUUACCGGUAAGUUUUCUAGAAUAAACAUGUUAGUUUUGUAAUUGAGCGAAUUGUGUCAGAAAUUUGAUUUUUUCUAGAAGACUUACAUGAAAGUCUUCCACCAGAAAAAUAAAACUAAAAUAAUACAUUUAACUAGACGACUUAAAUAAUACAUGUAAGUCGUCUCAGGUUACUGUUGCAAUUGAAAAAUAAAAUUCAAAUAUUUAGUUUUAAUUAGAAGACUUCCUUGUAAGUCUUCCGGAAGACUUACAUUGAAGUCGUCUAAUUAAAAUUAAAUAUUUAAGUUUUAUUUUACAAUUGCAAAAGUAACCGAACGACUUUCACCAACAGUGAGAAGACUUCCACCGAGAGUUCAAAAGACUUAGAGGGAAGUCUUCCGCCGGAAGUGUAAGACUUCCGGAAGACUUCUGUGUAAGUCAUCUAGAGAAAGUCAAAUUUUUGACACAAUCGUCAAUUGCAAAACUAACUUGUUUAUCCUAGAAGACUCACCAGGAAGUCUUCUCUGGUAUUUACAAGAUUUUUUUGUUAACAAAGAAAAGUUGGAAGACUUCCAAAGAAGUCGUCUUUAAAAACGCACAUAAAGUAAAUUACAAAACUAACAUCUGCAUUGACCAGAAGACUUCCGUAUAAGUCUUCUACGAUCAGAAAGACUUAACGGAGUACGUCUCCGACGAAUAUAUCUGAAAAAAAAACAAUUUCAUACUUUCAAUCAGUGAUAUAACUUGAUUAACUUCUCUUAUCACACAAAACUUCUCCACAAAACAUAUCCACUUGUUAAUGACCAAGAUCAUGAGUUUGAACCUUACAAAGUUUAGAAUCAAAAUCUUGGAUUUUUUUUUGAUGAAUAUAGGGAGAAAGUGAAAUAGAUGUAGUUUGUGUGCAUAAGUAAUGAGAUAUGAAGAGUAAAAAUCGAAACUUUGGUGCAUUAAAAACUUCAAAUUGGUUGUUCAUGGUAGGUUGGUGUAUUGAUGGCAAUGGCAAUAUUGUAAAUACUUGAUGAAUAUGAGGUUGAUAGAGUAAAACACUCAUUUUCGAAAAAAAAGAAAAAAAAAGUAAUGACAUUUUUGUGAAUAAUCCGAAAUUCUGGGGUGAAUAUAGCAAAUGAAAGUUUCAAAAAAAUCAUGGGUUAGUUUGUGUUUGACUUUUUGUUUUGAGUCAUAUUUGAAAAAGCCCUAUAUUCUAUAUGUUUGGAGUCGCUUUGGUGUUGUUUUGUGUUAUACAUGGUCUAUGUUUUGAGUCAUGUUUUGGAAUACAUUGCAAAGAUAUAAUUUUGAUGAUUCAGGACCCUAAAACAUGGUCGAGGUUCUCCACAAAAUUAGGUGAACAUCGUUUCAACGAAGAUUUAAGAACUUCAAAAUCUUUUACAUAUCAAAGGAGCAUAAUGAGACAGUAGAUGGUUUACCUAGGAUAGCUCGGAUCUUUUCCGUAGUUUGAUUUGUGUUGGUUUUUUUUUAUUCCGCUUUGGAUUCGUAGACCAAUUCCUGGAGUAAUCCCUUAUAUAUUAAUUGAGAAGCAUUACAACAUUUUUUUUGUAGCCACAUGUCAUCACUAUAAUGAUUAUUAGAAUCCUUAGAGAAAUAUGUUGGUCUAUCAAAAUAUAUACUAAGCUUUUUAUUAAACUAACCAUAAAUACAUUAUUAAUGUGUUUCAUUAUUUCCUUCAAUAAAAUUACAUAAUUUUCUAAUGUGGCUAAAGUAUAUAUGACAAUUAAUGAUUUUGAAUAAUAAAGAUUUGAUAAAAAUAAGUACAUCUUAUAUUAUAUUUUUUUUAAUUUUAAACUAUUGAAAUAAAUUAAACAACCAUAUUAACCAUAUAAUAAAUAUUUAGAUUUUUCUGUAUAUGUUAUAUUUUGAUUUUUUUAAAACAAGUAUAAAUUACUAAAAGUGUUAAAAGUCUCACAUUCAAGUUUUGUGAUCCAUGAUUUAAAAUUUUUGUUAUGACAUGAUACAAAUGAUUACAAAAUCAUAUAAGUCGAAAGUCUCAUUUAAUAAAUAUUAAAAUUAAAAGAUAUAUAAAUAUAUAUAUAUCAUUUUAAAUUAAACUAUAUGCCAUAUAAAAAUACAUAAAUAUUCUAAUUUUGAAAUAUACUUUGAAUUUUUUUUUUGAGAAAAAUAUAUAUAUAUAUAUCAUUUUAUUUUUGUUUAAAUAUUAUAAAUUACUUAAACUAUUAAUCUCACAAUGAAAUUUUAUUAUCAGUAAUUUAAAGUUUUUACUAUAAGAGAUUCAAAUGAUCAAAAAAAAUAUGAGUAGAAAGCAUCAUUUAAUAGAUAUUAAUAAUAAAAUAUACUAUGUAAUGUUGCUAUCAUUUAAAUUUAAUUAUAUACCAUAUCAAAUAGACAAAAUACUUUUUUAGAUUAAAAAAUUUAUUUAUAUGUUUGCACCAAUUUAAUUAUAUAAGUAAUAGUUACUGAAUUUUUAAUUAUUAAAUAAAUAUAUUUAUUAUUUCAUAAUACGUUAAAAAAUAUAUAAUACAUAAAAUAAUUUAUAUAUAUAAUAUUCAUCCUGCGCAAAACGAUGGUUAUUAAGUAAAAAAGGAGGGUAAGCUGGUGAUUUGUUUUGUUACGAGCGACAUGCGUGAGACUUGUAAAUUUAGCAAGUUUUUAUUGCAUUGUCGUAACUACAAACAAAAGCCCGAAAGAGAGAACCAAAAACAAAAGGGGCCUUGUUUUGUCUUGGUAGAGGGCAAAAAAAAAAAAAACAGGCCCAGAACUCGAGUCGAAGAGAGAGAGAGAGAGUCGCAUACUGCGUCGAGGAGAGAGACAUCACGAAGAACAAAUUAUUUUUUUUUCUGCGGAGAGGGAAACAAAAAUUGAAAAGAAGAAAAUAGCAGAAUUAGAAAUCUCAUAAACAAGAAAUUGAUCUUCUUAUUUCCCUGAGAAAUCGAUUUCGUCUUCGAUUCGAAGCGUUAAACAAAGAGGGGGUUUGGGUUGUUUGUUCAAUCUUCGUUCAAACCCUAGGAGAGAGAGAGAGAGAGAAUAAGCUAAUUUUAGAUUCGUGAUUGCCCAACAUCUGUGCCCUAGGCGUUGCUUUACGUUGAAAUUCAGGUACUCUACCUUCCUUCUGAAACCCUAGUGUCCAGCUUUGCUCGAGUUUCUGUGCAAUUUCGAAUAUGUUUAGUGCCACUGAUUAGGGGAAUGUUGAUUCUGUCUUCUCUGUAAUUCGUACCUCCUUCCUUCUUCUAAAUGCGCAACAGAGUUCGUGUGCACGCCCGCCAUUAUGUACCUUAAGCUGAUCAUUUCAAAUUUUCAACUUUGCUCUAGCUCGCAUCUGAUCUUCUCGAGGAAUACUGAGAGCAUCUUAUGUGUGUGUGUUUCCAGUUAGUUAUCGAAUUUAUGGGACAACCAAGGUGCUGAUGCAUGGAUGGAUAUCUUCUAGUAAAUGCUGAGCUUGAUUCCAUGGGAGGAGUUAUUGAUAGUGGAGGUGGUAUUGCUCUCAAAACGUCUCCCCGCCGAACUGCAAUUGAGAAGGCUCAAGCCGAGCUUAGGUAUUUCAGAUUGAGACUUCUUCUUCUUUAAAUACUUUCCAUUUUCUACCCCUGUCUAGUGUGUAACAAAGAUGCUUGUUUCAACAGGCAAGAGUACGAUGUCCGUGAGGAAAGGAGGAGAGAACUAGAGUUUCUUGAGAAAGUAUGGAUACAUAUUUGCAAUUUCUCUCUUCGUUUUCCUUUGAAAAAACUUAUCAUGACAAGCAUUUACUCUUCUUUCUGCUUCAGGGAGGUAAUCCCUUGGAUUUUAAGUUUGGUAUUGCAACUUCACAUAGCGUCCAAUCUACAUCACUCACUGAUCAGCAAGCAGAGCAUUUUGUAAACAGGUACAUUCAUGUUUGCUGUAGUCUCCCAUUAAAUUUCAUGGAUUAACUCUUCAUUCUUUACCUGUAACAGUGGACUCAAGGAUAGUUUUGCCCUGGCUUCCUCACCACAUGGAGACUCUGUGGAGAGUAGUGGUAGACCCGCAGUUCCUACAGUUUCUGAACCCAAUACAGCGGAUAAUCUUUUACUCUUUGAUUCUGGAAAUAAGUCAGUUGAGGGAGAAAACAAUUUGAGAUAUCCUAACAGGCAACACAGAACGUCCGAGUCAGAACGGUCAUACAAAGCGAACACCAACCAAAAUAUCAAAGAAACAGAGGAUUCUGCUAUCUUUCGACCGUAUGCUCGUAGGAACAGAACAAAGAUAAAUCGGGAUCCAGCACGGUCAAGUUCCACGGAUUUAGUUCAGAAUCGUGGUGGUCUUGCAACGUCUAUCUCUGUCCGCAGAGGAUCAGUGGACGGAAAGGUUUGCAAUUCUGAAGCAGCCAAUCAAAAGGAUAGGCAAACAACCUCUGUAUCAUGUCCAGUAUUUGCAAAUUCAAAUAGAACUGUUGUUCCGAAAAAUGUAGCUCCCAGUAAUACGCUGAAUACUAAGGUGGAUGGUGGACCUGUUGUGCGAGAGAGUGCUGCUGGAUCGAAAACUAGUCUAGUAUUGAAGGAUGAAGCAGACAUUACAGUUAGAAAAAAGUCCGCAGGUUUGCAUCUUGAAGAGGCUGGGGAGAAGGCACAACUAGUUUUGACUAGUACACAGAUUGGUUCUCCCAAAGCUGCAACAAUAGCUGGCCAGGAAAAUAAUUCCACCCAAAUGGAUGAGCUAGGAGAUUCUACAGGAGAAAAAAAGAGUUUAACAGAUAGAGCAGCUGCAGGGACAGAGUCUUCUCAUGCUAACCACUUAGAAGUAGAUGUAGAUACUGAAAGAGAUCUUUAUAGAGCGGACAAACUCGACUCAGAUGAAAUCUCUAUGCCGAAGGCUUCAAGAGUAGAGGGGCUACUGAAUCAAACAGUUGGUGAACUGAAGAUUGAGGAUGAGACAGGUCGAUCUACCACCAUAAUUAGUGAGUGCAGUCCUGCGCGUGAAAUUCUGAUGAAUUCAGUUAAAGUUGAAAAUGAAAACUACAGAAGUGUGGCUGAGCUACAAAAUGAAGAGGAAUGUUCUGACACUGAGAAAAAGCUUCAACAUGGGUUGGUUGUACCUGAAAAUGAUAAGAAAGUUAGUAGUGUUUUGGCUGACGAUCCUAGUAGCUUUGUGCACCCUGGAAAACCUCAGGCAUCUGUAGACGCAAGUUCAUGCAUGGUUGGCGAUAAUGUAUUGUCAGGAACUGACGUUGAAGCAUUAAAACAUCAGCCUAGCUCAGAUGAUGGCUCAAAAGUGUUAGAUACUGUGAAGGAAGACUCUCUCCUUGAGGAGGCACGAAUUAUACAGGUUUUCUUUUUCAACUUGGUUUGAUGAUCUUAAGCUCGCGAGCUUUCGAGGUACUUAUAUACCUAUUCAUCUUUUUUUGCAUGACAUGAUGCAUUAAUAGGCGAAGCGAAAAAGAAUUGCCGAGUUAUCCUGUGGUACCGCACCUGUGGAGGUCCGUGAGAAAUGUCAAUGGGAUUUUGUCCUUGAAGAAAUGGCAUGGCUGGCAAAUGAUUUUGCUCAGGUCUGGUCUAGUUGAAUAAGCGUUCUGAUUGAAAUUCUAUAUAUUUGCAUGGAAAUUGCUACAUUUUGUGGAUUGUUAUUCUACUUGUUUCCGUUGACAUCUGGACAUUCCUAUACUUAAAUGAGCUUUUCCACAUGUUGCUGGAACAUUUUUCAUUGAGUGUUCAGAUCGCAUGUUGUUUAUCCUCACAUAUUUCCUUUUCGUCUUUUAGGAGCGGCUUUGGAAGAUGACUGCUGCUGCACAAAUUUGCCAUCGGGUUGCUUUGACUUCCCAGUUGAGAUUUGAGGAAAAAAAUCAGCACAGAAAGCUGAGAAAUAUAGCUUCAAUCCUAUCUAGUGCGAUAUUGAAAUUCUGGAGUUCUGUGGAGGUUCCUGGGGAGCUGGAGGAGACAGGCUUGGGAAUUGAUAAGGUAUUUGACGGACAGACCUCUGUUAUGGUUUAGUUAUCAUAUGGUUCUUCCAUUUUCUUAGAAAUCAGAACUAUGCAUACGCACACACACACACUUGUUGGAUUAAAUUAUUGACAACACUGAUUUCCUGGAACCAUAUUGUUAAGUUUGUGAUAUAAGCGACACAAUUCUAUGGAUAUAUCCUUCGUAUAAUUGAUCAGCCGGGUCUUUCUUAUUUGCUUGAAUGGUCUUCCAGUUUUACCUCCAUGAAUCUCUGGUUCUGUUGCUCUCUACACUACGAUUUUUGUAAACUUAAUGGUAUGUUUCUUGGUAUACCAUGGUUGUAUGCAGGAGACCUGCCAAGAAUCUAAUUGUGAGAGUGGCAGAAAAUGUUUAGCCGUGGGUGUCAGGGAGUAUGCACGUAGAUUUUUGAAGUAUAACAAUUCUUCUAUCCCUGAUCAUUCAGCUGCACCAUCAACACCCGACUAUAUGUGCGACCCAGAAAUAUUGGAUACAGCUCUGGUUGAUCAGCUAUCGGAAGUAUGAACUUUUGUAAACUCUGCAGCCUCAGUUCAAUAUAAUUGCUGUGGUAGCUCUAUAAUAUAGCUGAUUGAGCUUUGUUACUGUUCAGGAAAGCCUAUUUUAUUCAGUUCCAGCUGGUGCAAUGAAGGUGUACCAAAUAUCCAUUGAGACCCAUCUCGCACGCUGUGAGGUAUAUUAUAUUUUUCUGUGCUAGGAGCUCUCAUAUUGUAACCAUGAUUGCUUAAAUUUGUAUCUGUUAUCCAGAGAUAUUUAACAGUAUUUCUCUGUUCUCAGAAGUUUGGAAAUAGCAUGAAGGAGGAGGUUGAUACAUCAGCCUAUGAUGCUGUUGGAGGUAUGCACAGUUCUUGUUAUUUAAGCUUCACGUGCUGGUUAAAUAUUUUAUGACCUCUUAUCUCCAUUGUAGAUUCAGAUUACGAUGUUACUGCAUUUGAUGAGGAUGAAGUAGAAACGAGUACCUAUUAUCUCCCUGGAGCUUUGGAAUGCAGCAAAUCAUUUAAGUUGAGCCACAAAAAAAGGAAGAAUUUGAUGAAGUCGCAUUCUGCCCGGUCAUAUGAUCUUGGAGCUGAUUCACCGUACAUGAACUACACAGAUGGGUUUAACUCAUCGAAUUUGAUGGCGAAAAGGGCUGCUAAUAAUAUAAAUGUCGGCUCAGUUCCUACGAGGCGUGUGCGCACUGCUUCCAGGCCGAGGAUUGUGAGUUUACCAGUGCCCUCAAAGACAGAUGCAUCUAGUGGGGAUACUAGUUCUUUUCAUGAUGAGCAAAGUAGUUUGCAUGGUGGAUCGGCAGUUCAAAAAGGCACAGAGGUUGAAUCAAGUGGUAAUUUUGAGAAGCAGUUAUCCUAUGACAUGGCUGAAACUUCAGGGAAACCUAAAAAGAAGAAGAAGACUCAUCUGGUAGUUUGCAAUAUGCGCAUCUAUUACUUGCUUUUUUACUGAGAAAUAGUUGCUAUUAGUUUUACUCUACAUUGCACUGUAAUUUCAAUUUUAUUUGUUGCAGGGAUCUGCUUAUGACCAAACCUGGCAUCCCGAUUCAUCAGUCCAUGCUGAACAGGUAAUUUCAUUUUAAAAUCUUAUGAAUCAAAUUGAACCAAUGUUUAAGGAAAGUAUGUCAGGAGUUCAGGUUGUGUGUUUUAAUCAGUGUUAAUGCUGAUUAGCCUGCUGUUCAGAGUUUCAUAUUUCUUGAAAUGAGAACUUUAAAUUAUAAUAGUUGGUAAAAUAUGUACCAUGUACUGGUAACUGACUUCCCAUAAAAGUUUUCUAACUUAUCCUUAUUUCGGCAGAAGGACCACUGGAAGAAGCGAGUAGAGAAUCAUUUCGAUAUGAAUGGUAUUAUUUGUAAAUUCAUUUUUACUCUCUGUUGCAUUGUAGUUUAACUUCGGCAGUUGGGGGAAGCAUCACUCUUCUUUUAUCAAUCAAACCGAGUUUAUGCUUUAAGGAGAACUUUUUUGCAUACAUCUUAUCAUUAGCCACCAAUUAUAAAACUAAAAUAGUGGAUACUGUGGAGUUAUAACCCUAGAGUAGAAGGUUGUAAUUGGGAUUAGUUCAACUGUCUGUAGAAACUAGCAUGAUUUUGCUGCUUUUUUGACAUUUCCCCUUUUAUGUCUCAAUGCUGAUGUAUAAUGAGUUUAUAAUCCAGUGACAUAUUGUAAUUGCAUUGUAUAAGGUAUAUAUGGUCCUCAUGCAAAGAAGCAAAAGACCACCAAGCAAUUGGUAGAGAAUAAUUUUGAUGGUGCUAUUGCUCUCACUGGAUCAAUUCCUUCUCCGGCAGCUUCCCAAAUGAGCAAUAUGUCCAACCCCAACAAAUCUAUCAAAUUUAUUGGAGGUCGUGAUAGGGCCAGAAAAAUAAAAGGCCUAAAGGUAUUUGCUGUUUGGGGUGAUAACUCCGCCAACCACUUUAUUUUGGGUGUUCCUUUUAAACUUGAAAUUUUGAUUUACGCAGAUUUCUCCUGGCGAGCAUGGUUCUGGAACUACGUGGUCACUAUUUGAGGAUCAGGUAUUUUUAUUUGUCAUCUUUCUUAGCGUCGAUAUAUUGUUGGUUUCUCUGUGAGUUUUCUAAUUAUGUUAUACCAUCUAGGCGCUCGUUGUCCUGGUGCAUGACAUGGGCCCUAACUGGGAGCUCAUUAGUGAUGCAAUGAACAGCACUCUUAAAAUUAAGGUAAGUGCUUGCUGUUUUGAAAACCUUGGGAUUCUCUGUAAAUUUCUCACCGAGUGGUACAGCUAUACUUCAUUUGAUAAUAAUGUUGUUUCUAUUCUAGUGAACUGUUUUACUGGAUAUUGUUGUCCUAUAUAUUACUUUCUCAUGUAAUGAACAUUUGGGAUUCGUUGCUGGCUGGUUGAUUUGUUCGUUGUUUGAUCCGCAUUUAUUUAUUUUCCAGUGUAUAUAUCGUAAUCCGAGUGAAUGCAAGGAGCGGCAUAAAAUUCUGAUGGAUAAGACUGCGAGUGAUGGGGCUGAUAGUGCUGAAGACUCAGGGACUUCUCAGUCUUAUCCAUCCACUUUGCCUGGCAUCCCGAAGGUUUUUCUUUAGCUCUGAGACGCAUCUUCUUUGUUUAGACCAACUGAAAUACCCAAGCUAUGUUUGUUAUAUUUAGGGAAGUGCAAGACAGUUGUUUCAGCGACUGCAAGGGCCAAUGGAGGAAGAUACCCUGAAGUCCCAUUUUGAGAAGAUUUGUUUGAUUGGGAAGAAGUUACACUAUAGAAAGUCACAGGUUGGUUCACCUAGUACUUUUUACUGUUUACAUGCUUGUAAUUUGAAACUAUUACUUUCUUUCUGCAUUUGUUCUAGUCGUAUUUCAACCGUUUUCUUAUCAAUAGUCAUAGUUCAAGCUUAAUUCAAUGGGUGCUGUAGCUAGUUUUUGAGUCCCUUGUUGGAAGAAUGCUGGAGGGGUCUUAACUUUUAUAGUUUCAAAGAGUGUUUUCAGAGUUACAUGUUCACGAAAUUAGGUUUAAGUUGGACUAAAGAUGGUAAACAUUUUUGUUUAUAGAAACCCGAGAUAUGGAAUUUAUUAUCUUGUUGUAGUCAAAGUUUAUGAUGUGAAAGGCAUGUUUCAAAGCAUAGCUGCAAACCUGGCUAACAUUUGCUGAAGUCAUUAGGAACCGUUACAUUGUAGUUGGAAGUUGAAAUCGUCAAAGGCCCUAAUUUUGUUUUCUUGUUGCUGCUUCUGUCUGUCUGCUACUGUUUCAUCGAUCUUCAAGAAUGAUGGUCGGGAUCCCAAGCAGAUAGUACCAGUUCACAAUUCACAAGUCAUGGCUCUUUCUCAAGUAUUCCCUAAUAAUCUGAAUGGAGGUGUUCUAACGUAAGUUUUGGUUUUCGAUAAAUAACUUUAUUUCCUGUUUACUAUUUCCGCGAUACUAAUAUCUUGCUACUCUCCGGAUGAAGGCCCCUUGAUCUCUGUGAUGCGUCAACUUCAGGUCAAGAUUUAUUUUCACUUGAAAAUCCAGGUUCGCAUCUGGGUCUUCCAAUGUUGAAUCAAGGGACGCCAGUGCUACCUACUUCUGGACCAAACCCAUCCACUCCUGGAUCAUCUGGUGUGGUUCCCGGCAACAGUUUACCAACCACACUUGGUUUGCACCAUUCUUCUGCAAGGUAGACCUGUAAUGAAUGGUUUGUUUUGGUGAAAGCACACGUUUGUGCAUCUCCGCUCAAUGUGCUCAAGGUUUUAGUACUUCUUUUGGUUGGUGAUAUGUUUCUUUCCUUUUAGGGAUGGUAGAUUCAACGUUUCCAGAGGGCCUUUGCCACUUGAUGAACAACAUCGACUCCAACAGUCUAAUCAGAUGUCACCCAGUAGAAACCUGCAGCAGCCUUCUUCAUCAACUCCUGGAGCUAUCUCAGGAUCUGGACACCGCAUGGUUCCUGGUGCAAACACCAUGGGUGUAAGUGGACUGAACAGAGGAGCACCCAUGUCGAGGCCUGGUUUUCAAGCAAUUGGCUCAGCAGCAAUGCCAAAUACUGGUAGCAUGCUGUCAUCUGGUAUGGUGGGAAUUCCAAAAACUGGUAAUAUUCACUCUGGAGGAGGAGCUUCUCAAGGAAACCCCAUGUCUAGGCCGCCUCGUGAAGCUGUUCAGCAUAUGAUGCGGGUAAGCUACUUGGCUUUUGGUUGCUGCUAUGCUAAAUAGUUUAUCUGGCUCCUUGGUUUAGUUUGUAGACGUUCAGCGCUUACUGAUAUGCGUUAGUUUCAGAUGCAGGCUGCUCAAGGGAACAGCCAGGGGAUCCCAGCUUUCGGUAGUUUGAGUUCUGGAUUUACCAACAACCAGACAACUCCUGUUCCGGCGUACCCAGGCCAUCUUUCUCAGCAGCAUCAGAUGCCACAUCAGUCGCAUGUGCUUGGCAAUUCGCAGCAUCCUCAUCUCCAGAGCCCAAGCCCAAGUCAUGCCACUAGGGCACAGCAGGACGGAUUUGCUCUCCGUCAAAGGCUAAUGCACCAGAGGUUUGUGCAGCAGCAGCAGCAGUUUGCAUCAUCCGGCACUAUGAUGCCACAUGGACAACAACAACAACAACCUCAGGGGACUUCUGUUUCUUCUUCGACACAAAACAAUCAACAGACUCAACCACCCGUUUCGCCCCAGCCAUUACCGCCCCCAGUGUCGACCUCUCCUAAUACUAAUGCUUUGACACAACAAAACCCUCAAAAAUCUCAGUUACCGCUUCAUGGCCUGGCUAGGAAUCCUCAGUCUGGUGCUCCUGGAGUAAACAAUCAAUUUGGAAAACAACGGCAGAGACAACUCCAGCAGCAGUCUGGAAGACAACACCCACACCAGCGGCAGCCAUCACAAGGUCAACAGCAGAAUAAACAAUCCAAGGGGGCGGGUAGAGGAAACAUGGUUCAUCAGAACAUUACUCUUGAUCAGUCACACUUGAAUGGUCUCACCAUGUCCCCCGGAAAUCAGGCUACCGAAAAAGGAGAGGCAAUGGUUGCAGUUAGGCCUGAUAGGGAGUCUAAUGUGGGGACUGCCACGAGCACGCAUCUUCCGUCUAAACCUUUUGUUUCACCAGAGUCCUCAAAUCAUUCACAGCAAUUGCCGAAAUCAUUUUCUGGAGCUACAUCUUCGUCUCAAGAACAACAGAUACAGUUACCUUCAGACAAUAGGAUCCAAGGCCAGAGCUCACCUGCGGCCUCAUGCAACAUCUUGUCCACCUCUAGCCCCUCAGUUGGACCUUCCAACCCUCAGCAUUUGUUGCUACACCAAAAGCAGCGUAAUCAAGUGCAAGCUCAGCGAAUUGCUCAUCAGAAUCAUAUGGAGAACUCUGAUUUAUCGAGAAAGUCCCAAGCUGAACGUGUGCCACGCGUUCAGCAGUCUGUCCCCAAUACCACACAAACAGCUAGUAUGAGUACGAGCAAGGGUAUGCCUCAAGUGACUAAUGAUUCGAACAACAUAAAAGCAGUUGGUUCUACUGUUGUGCCUUCUCCAAAUGGAUUGGAACCUCCAGCUAGUGCCGCCUCUGUGCAAAGCGCUGCUCCUAAUGUAGUAAACAGUUCUAAUACAGACUCAGCUGGUAGUGAUCCAGUAACAACACUGAAGCAAGGACUGGCACCUAAGCAUUUCCCUGGGGGCUUGCCUUGUCAGGAGCUCAAGGGCCCGAUAGAGAGACAAGAAACUCUACCAACAGUAGAAAAGAGACCAAAGUUGCCAGAGCAGCUGACUGUACAAAAUCAGAAACGUCUUGCUUCUGAUCAGCAGUCUCCACAAAUAGAAGAAGCACAAGAGCUAUCAUCUCCCAAGCCUCCCGAUACAAAAGUGGAGUGAGAGGCACGACAGAUGAAACCUAGAACCUCGAUAGCUGUAGAUCCUGCAAAGGGUGAUGCUUGCCCUUACCGACAACCCUGUACAGGUACAAAAACUGGUUUGUACGGAGUCAGGGUCCUCACUGGCAUUAAACAUCAUCAAGUUGGCGGUCUUUAGAUUUUGCUGAUUGGUUUGGUCCAAGCAAAGUAAAUUAUAAACUCUGCAGAUGGAGUUUUUAGAUUUGAUGAGGGGAGAGGAAGAUAAAUGGGGGAAAGAAGGUGGAUAGAUAGAUUGAUGAUGGUCCCUUUUUAUAUCUUUUUUUUUUUCACAAGAGAGAAAGGUGUAUUUGAUGUAAAUUACCACUGCAUCAUAGAGAGGUCACUUUCUUCGUCUUGGUUCUUCCCAUCUUUAGGUUUGGGAGAGUGGAAACAGUUUAUAAUGUUUUGUAUAGAAGUCUGCUCUUCCACCCGCUAUUUCCUCUUGUUUGUCCCCUUCUAAUUUCUACUCUUGUGGGUUUAGGUUAGUUUAAUUUGAAUGUAUUAUUGUUUUUCUCCUUGUGGUUAUAAAUGAGAAUCACAAAAUGACUAUAUGCUUCCCAGUCCUCUUCACAAAAUGGUCAUGAACAUUGGAAUUACAUUUGAAGAUUUGAUAAGAACGAUUCCAUCUUUUGUUUUUGUUAAAUAACCAACAUUUUGUUCACAAGCUUUGUUGGAUUUGCAAAUGGCAUUCAUAAAAAAAGUUCUUGACAUUAGAUUACUAUGUUACAUUCUCUGAAACGAAAAAGAUGAAAGUAAAAGAAUGCCAUCAUCUUUUUUCACGUACCUCUGAUGAAAAAGGUUAGAGAGAAGCAAAGGAAGUGUUGAGAAACUGAAGAAGCUGAGUUUGAGAACUCUGAAUCAAUUUAAGGCGUUUCAUCUCCAUCUCCUUACGCAGCUUGGCCGUCUCUUUAGCAAACUCCAUCUUCUUCUUCUCCAUCACCAUUGUUUUCUCAGCGAAUGCCCUAAUCUCAUAAGCUACUGCUCUCGCUCCCUUCAUCCUCCUCUCACCACCUCCUCCUUCAUCUUUCCUCUUCCUCUUGGAUCUCUCCUUCUGUCCCCACUGCAACAAUCCUCCAGCGAAUCUGUUAACAGUUCCAGGUCUUCUCACUAUGUGAUUGAUACUCCUAGAUUUGUUCAGACUCUCAUCUUCUUCGUCGUCUUCAUCAUCUUCAUCUUCAUCUUCUGCGUAGUGAUUAGUUGGAGGAGGCAGUCGUGUGAGAGGACGAGCUGAGAUAGGAGCAGGAUUGCUAUCUAACUCCUCCAUCUGAGAAUAGAAAGGCCAUAUGGAGAUAGGUCCCAUGCUCUGCCUCUCCGCUCUGAAUCUUUUCCGCAACUUCUCCAUCUUGUGCCGACACUGUGUCGCCGAGCGCUCGACGCCGGAGCGAGCUGAGACGGAGACGGAGAUCUCUUCCCACUGGUUUGAUUUCAGAGGACCUCGACCAACGGCGUACCACUUCUCCUUGUACGAGUCGAUUAGGAGGAGUGUCUCGUCUUCGGUCCAUAGCACCGGUUGGGUUUUUCUGGCGAAGGCGGAGGUCGAUGCGCCUAAGGCAACCACGGUCGUUUGCGGCGAGGGAGGGCUUUGAAUCGCCGAGGAGCUCGAGGGUGGCGGAUUAGGGUUUGAAUCAGAAGGAGGAGGAGGAGGAGGAGGAGAAGGUGUCGGCGAAGGCGUCGCCAUGUGGCCAAUGGAAGAAAGCACAACAACUAUUGCUUCUUCGCCUUUUUGUUGUGUUGAGUUUUAACUCGAAACUCCAGAUCAUUGGGCUUUUGUCUCCGCAUUGACUUUUUACAUAUUGGGCUUAUGUCUCCGCGUUGACUUUUAUUUUUUAACCGACCGAGAUAUUUUAGAUUUUUUUUCUUUUUAAUUACUUCACAAAAAUCUACAAUAUCUUUAAUAAGUUGGGUCAAGUUUUAGCUAUAAAUACGUAAGUUUAGAGAGCAAAAUAUAUCACAUCAAUAUAAUCUUUAACUUCAUCUUCUCUUCCUAAAGCAAGUUCUAGGUUUUUUGCGUUUCUUUUAAACCUUUCGAACUCAACAUGAGUAAGGGAGAAAACUCAGUUUCCAUCCCAAUGGAUCUCAUCAACGAGAUAUUCUCAAGAUUAUCGGCCAAAUCAAUCGCUAGGUUUUCUUGUCUGUCGAAGCAGUGGAGGGACAUGCUUGACCGUUCAUAUUUCAAAGAGUUGUUUUUCACCAGAUCCUCUGCUCGGCCGCGUCUCCUAUUCUCCGUCAAACAAAAUGGUUAUGAUGAUUUGUGUUUAUUCUCGUCGCCUCAGCCUCGUGAUCUCUAUGAUAAGUCGUCAUCUCUUGUGAUAACAGCCUACUUCCACAUGAAGUUACCUAAAGACAUCAGGAUAUGAAAAACAUGCCUUUGGUUUUGUCCAUUUCCCUAGGCGUAUGGGGAUGGUGAUAUGUCCUAGCAUGGGACAGUCGACUCUUUUACCCGAAGAUAAUAGGUCGAGUUCGAUAAACUAUUUAGUGUUUGAUCCGAUAGACAAGCAGUUUAAGGUAUUGAACAUGUCGGAUCUAAUAUUGACACUAGGAACCAGAGAAGACUCGUGGAGGCAGAUCUAUUGUCCCUUAAUCAAUUUGUCUACGUAUGGUUUGCAUAAAGGGAUAUGUAUCAAUGGGGGUUUUGUAUUACUUUGCUACACAAAAAAUUAAUGAUGUACGUUCUUAUCUGAUAGUUUGCUUUGAUACUAGGUCUAAGGAAUUCAAGUUUAUAUACAUAGAUUUUAUUCGUGGUCAGGAUAGAAUGAUAAACUAUAAGGGUAAACUAGGGGUGAUUACUCUAGAGUAUGAUUAUAACCUUUGGGAUUGGGAUCCUAAUAACUCCAACGGUAGAAAGUGUUCCCUUAAGUUGUGUAUGUCAGUUCUAAGGGAUGUUGAGGACCCAAACUCGGAAUGGUCAGAACAUGUCUACACAUUUCGGAAGACGAAUCAAUGCGUUGGCUGCAGUCACGUUUCCACUUUAUGGGAGAAUCAAAUUGUUGCUGGGGACUGCCACAUGCGACAUUGUGUUGUGUAUGGAGGAUGUAUCUAAGCAGCUUUAUGUUUUCUACCUCAAUAUCGAAAGGAAGACUCUCCAGCGAGUUGAAUUCCGAACUGCUAACAAUGAAGCUUUUGAGAAAUGUAGUAGCAAAGUUAUACUCUCAGUGGACCAUGUGGAGGAUCCUAACUUUAUUAACAUGGAGACUUAGAUAUGAUGCAACGUACUGUUACAAGUUCUGUGUAAAAGACUAGAUCCAAUGAAAUAAUACUCGUUUAUUCCUUUAGAUCCAAGCGAUUACAAAUUUGAGAGACUUACAAUGGAGUUCUCUCAGCUCCCCAACAAUCACUUUGCUCAAGUCACUCGAUACCUAUAAUAGACUAGAGCUUAUAAAGGAGAUGACCACUAACUAACCCAGCUCUUGACCAUAGUUAAGAAGCCGCUAGUAGACGUGACGUGGCACUCACACUCUUCAGGUGUUAUUCCUUAUUCGUUAUCCACAGCAGUCUUCUAGAUGUUCCACCUGUCUUUAUCUAGAAGCUGUACUCUCAUCCUUUCUUCUCACUGGUGGGCCGAGGCCUUGUUCCUCCUCUUGUACUGGUGCAUUAUUGGUGGGUAUUGGGCCUCAUACAUAACAUUACCCGCCGCUUUGAAAUUGACCUUGUCCUCAAGGUCGAAAGUGACAAACUGCCUCUGCAUCCUCUGUUUGUUCUCCCAAGUACAAUCGCUCUCCAGUAAACCCUUCCACUUGACUAACACCUCCUCCUGUUUUGAAAUUGGAUGGUUUCUGAUACCCCAAAUCUCCUCUAGUUCUGCCAUCACCACGCCUUCAUCUGUGAGCUGAGGCGGAAUCGACAAAGCAGGACCAAGAUCUCCCAUGGCUUUCUUAAGCUGAGACACAUGGAAUGUAGGGUGAAUGCGAGCCUCAGGUGGUAACGCCAAACGGUAUGCAACUUUCCCCACUCUCGCUGCCACUGCAUACGGACCAUAGAAAUGCGCAAAGAGUUUUUUGUUGCUCUUCUUGGCCAGUGACUUCUAACGGUACGUACACAGUUUGAGGAACACCAAGUCCCCUACUUCAAAUGAGACGUCUUGUCGAUGCUUGUCCACUCUAUUCUUCAUCACUUGUUGAGCUUUAUGUAAGUGAGACUUAAGCAGAGCCAAGGUCGCAUCACGAUCCAUUAAUCUAUUUUCUGAUUCCACAUUGUUUGUGGAGGCAGAUUCAAAGCGUAGGAGUGUAGGAGAUGGUGGUAAUUAGACCGGAGACAUCUGCGUAGCCGAGUGAAAAUAGUUGUUGUAGCAUAAUUCAGCCCAAGGUAGGACAGAGCUCCAUUGCUUUGGCUUCUCACUGAUGAAACACCUCAAAUAUGUAUCCAACCCACGGUUCGUAACCUUGGAUUGACCAUCAGACUAUGGUUGGUAAGCCGUACUGAAACAUAGACACGCGAAACAAUUCCUUCCGAAACUGACUUGUGAAGACACGCGAAACAAUUCCUUCCCAUCGUGCAACUCACGCAAGAUGGUGGUAAUUAGAGCGGACUGAUGCGGUAACACCAACUUGCCUUAGUGCAGGAGCUGCCCUUGCACCACACUGAAAUCAGGGUGAUUCUGCGGGUUUGCUAGCACCUCCUGUUUGACUUUGCUCAAUUUCGGAUCCUUAUCCAACUCUCCACAAAUCUCUUCUAGUUGAAUAGGUGAAGGCAAACAGUUCCGGUAACACUUCUUUGCGUGACAACGCAUCAGAAACUUUGUUUUCCAACCCGGGUUUGUACACUAUCUCAAAGUCAAAACCUAAUAUUUUGGAGAACCAUUUCUGAUAGUCCAUAUUGAUUUCCUUCUGCUCCAACAAGAACUUGAGGCUCUUUUGGUCUGUUCAUACCACAAAAUACCUCCCCAACUAGUGACGCCACUUCUGUAAGGAAAACACGAUGACCAUCAUCUCCCUUUCAUACACAGACUUCAGUUUUUGGUGCUCGGUUAAAGCUUGACUGAAAAACGCGACCGACCUUUGUUGCUGCAUCAAGACGGCUCCCAACCCCCACUUUAGAAGCAUCUGAUUCAAUAACAAAGGUGUCAUUGAAAUCAGCCAAAGCUAGUACCGGUACAGUCGUCAUGGCCCGCUUGAGAGAUUGAAAUGCUGUAGUUACUUCGUCAGACUAUUGGAACUGGUCUUUCUGGAGAAGCGAAGUCAACGGUUUAGCAAUGUCACCAUAAUACUGCACAAACUUUCGGUAGUAGCCGGUGAGACCAAAAAUCCCCUCAACUCCUUUAUCGUCUUCGGAAUCACCCACUCAACCAUUGCUUUGAUCUUGCCGGUAACAUAUACUCUCGAUCAGUCUAUUGUUUUACGACACUUCUUAUUGAAAGGUUUCGUGUAAUUAAGCUUAUCACAUUUUACCAAAUGGGGUUUGGCAUGUAUAUUUUUGCAAGUGCUUUUGAGCUUCGUAAACAAAAUUAGAAUAGUUAGCUAAUGGAUGUUUAUAUAUUUCAAAACACAUUAAAACACAUAUGGGUUUGGUGUAUUUGGCGGACUCUCUGAAUCAAGCAAAAAGUAGUUGGUGGAUUCCAAGUUCCAGCAAAAGACUUUCCUCUCAAAGUAUCUUUGUUUCCUGAACUUCCUCCUACUCUUGACUAAUUGCAGCAGUUGGAGAAGGUGUUUGGAGCUCAACACAUGAGAUGGUAUGAGCUAAAUGUUGAGAACGUUAUUCCUGUCUUUUGGUGGUUUAGGUUUUACGAUUAGCUGCUAUUGAUCUACUGAUGAGUGUGUUCUGUAACUACUGAUCAGCCUAACACUUGAUUUGGUAGGAUUGCAAUUUUUAUAUAGAGUACACAAAUACAACAAUGUCAAUUUUUACCAACUCUAGAUUCAUACCGUUCGAUCUAAACAACACUAUAAAUAUUGUUUCUUUCUAUCUACCAUAAAAUGUAAUUGUAUUUGUAAAUUGUACACAAUGGUUCCCAACCAAUAAAUGGAUUAUACACUAUUAAUAACAAUGAUGUGCAUUAGAAUCGUUAUGGAAAAAAAGUAUAAUUCCAGUUAUAGCUCAGUAAGAAACUGGUACACAAUUGUAAGCUUUUCCCUCUUCAGUUUCCCUCUCCAUUACCAUUUUUGUUACUCACAUCUGGAGACCAAAGAAAAACAAAACAAAAAAAGAAACAGAAGUUCCACGUGAGCAAGCAAACAAAACAUAUAUACAUUUGGUUGGAGUAUGAUGUCUCUCACCUGUACUAUGGUUGGAAUGUGAAGUAAUAGUUGCUUAGGAAGACUUCGGAUAUGAGAUUCAGAGAUAUAUAUAUAUAUAUAUAUCUAUUCAACUUGGAAAUUUCUGCAGUGUCUUGGCCAGCACGAUCGCAUUCCCUGCGUUUAACAAAGAAGAAAAAUGUUUUCAUAUAUUUUGAUGCACACACACAGAGAUCACAAGUGUUAACUUCAGGGAAACCUAAAAAGAAGAAGAAGACUCAUCUGGUAGUUUGCAAUAUGCGCAUCUAUUACUUGCUUUUUUACUGAGAAAUAGUUGCUAUUAGUUUUACUCUACAUUGCACUGUAAUUUCAAUUUUAUUUCAGGCUCUCAAAAGACUCUGCAAGUUCAAGUUGUUUUGACGCCGUCAAAAGGAGCGCCUGUCACAACAUUUUAACAUCUUUAUUACACCUAAUGCUUCUUGAAACAAAAGUGUUUUCUUUUUGGGGACAGAGAAAAUGGGGUCUCUACCUUCUUUGUCUUCUGUAGAUCUUGCUCAAUGCCUUUGAUGCGGUCUAAUGAAUCACGAAGUAUGUCUUCUUUCUCCUGAGGAAUGUUUGUUGGUUUGUCAAACAAAACUGUGACCAUGCUCUCCAGAUUCUGCAACCUUUGCCAACAUGGAUGGAGAGACUCUCCUCGCUGCAGCAACUGAGUAGGAGGAGGAGGAGGAGAAUCCAAAACCGGUGGUCUCAAUUGGUUCUCUGGUUUCUUAUUUACAAGACUUCCCAAGAUCCGGAACAUGAGACAUAGAGAUGCAACAAGUUGGAAGAUAAAACGAGCCAACGAGCUUGCAACUUUCUGAAGAGACCUCUUCAAGCCCCUUUCUUCUGUCAGAUUACUAGACAACUGAUCUGCAGAAAGAUAUUAUAAGGAUCUUAUCUAAAAAAAAUAGUUGAUGAAAUGAGAAGAAAAAGUUGCUUUCACCCUACUUGUUGAAUCAGACUGUACAAUUCUCCCAGUACCAACUGCUUCAAGUUGAUGGCUUAGCUGAGCACUUGUGUCCUGGAAACAUAAUAUAUACCCAGUAAUCAUCCAUUGACAAUGUUAGACCAUGAUAAGGAGCACCAGAGUAUGUAUAUAUGUAAACUAACAUGUUCAAAAUGCGAUUCUCUCACCCUAACUUGUCCUCCAUCAGGUAACGAUAUUUCUGUAUUCACAUGCUGCAGCAAGAAAUGUGGAAGAUGACAUUAUUAAUACAUAAAGGUAACAACAAGAGCCAAUCACUAUUACAAGUUGAUUAGAACUAAAGACUCACCGGUAAUGCAAAUAGUUUAGCUACUUCCCCAUUCUCCGGGAGCUCUAUUUCUUUUACUUUGUACGUUGCAUCUCUCAAGCGCACAAGCUACACAAAGUAGUACCAUAUAAGGCUGUUCAAGAGAUACCAGUGUCUACACAAAACAGUUGAGCUGAAAAAGGGAUCUUACUUUCAUUAUCUCAGGAUCAUUCCAAGGACCCUUGUUGAAUCUCAUACAUCCACCUUCAUUUGCACACGAGCAGUUUCCACCAAGAAAAUCAGGAAGCUCACUGGUGUUAAAGAGAACCUAUCUCUAUCAGCCUCCAAACAACUAAGCAGAAUUGGAUUAUUUUAGUAGAUAUUUUUACCUGGGAUCUAUAAUCUCAAGAAGGUGACUUCGAUCUUUGUUUUUUAAUACAUGUAUCUUAGAAGAAGUUUUAGGGUCGAGAAAGCCUUUCACUGUGCUCCAAAUUAUAGAGAAUCCGUUUCCAGCAUUAACGAUGUACAUCUGAUUCAAUGUCUGUCUUCAAUAAACCAAACCAAUGUUAAGUCUUCUUCAACAAUCCAAAAACUCGCAUAAAAAGUUCACACUACACUACACCCACCCACCUCAGGAUAAUUGUCCCCAUCGAUUUUCUGCAUACGCAUCACAAGGUCCUGAGCUAAUUUUCUCAACUUCAUCCAGCUCUGCACCGAAAGGAGAAGCCUUUAUAAAAGAAAACUUCAAAAUACAAAAAGGAAUAAUGAUGAAAAGGCAGGGUACCAACCACUCCUUGCACAUCUAUUAUGGUUGUUGAAGAAUUGAUAUGUCUCUUUGCAGCGAUAGAACAAGCUGGGAACUUCUCAGAGAAAGUCUUUUCGAAACCUUGUACAUGAUAUCUCAAGAAACGAUCCAAUGAAGUAACUUUCAUUAGCUUUCCCGGGUCAACUUUACCAAGACGUUCGAUGUAGACAGGCCUGCCUUCUCUGUCUACACCAUGGUAGCCAUGUGGAUAGUACUGUUGUACUUCUUCGUACUCCUCAUACACAAAAUCCUGAAAAUGGAUGGAUGAUUGCUUUUGACAGUUAGUAGUAACACAGCCAAGGAAAAAAGAAAAACCCAUGUGGAAAGAUUCUUCACCUGCAUUAUUGUAUCAACCCCAUUCUCUCUCCUCCACUUUAGCAUCUCUUCCCACAUAUGAACAGUUUUGUCAUGAUCAAACCUCCUCGCUUUCAAGAAUCUAAAAAACCCCCAACUUGAUCAAUGCCAAAUCUAACCUUUAAACAUCUGAACACUGUUUUAUUACCUCAGCAUGGUAUGAUAAUCAUCAUGUCUGGGUGGAAGCAAGUCAAGAGAAACCAAAGCUUCUCUAAACGCAUACACUGCCUUCUCCUCUUCUGCAUCUCUCACAUCCUCAAUGACAAUAGCUGCGUACUGAUCAGCUACACGCUUCCCUCGUUUCCUCAAGCUAUGAGUCAGCUUGGUCGAAGCCUUGAUAGCUUUCUUCUUCAAGGAUCUAGAACCACGAGGAGGUCUUGGAAGAAUCUUCUCAUCCUCUGAGUUGUCAAUAAUGUCUUUACUCUUUCCCUUAUCAGUUUCUGGAACCGAAAGGAUCUCACCCAAAGCUGUCAGAUCAAAAAAAAACUAAACUUUAUAGAAAACCCAAUCAGAUUCUUGCUAGAUCAUAGCUGAACAAUCACCUGGCAUUUGCAGAGAGAAUCAAACCCAGAAGCUUCAAAUCAGAUCCCUGAAUCUAUAAACCAAUCAAAACCCAGAAAGCAAAUCAGAUCAAGAAACGAGAAUCAUGAUCAUAUUAAUUAAUAAUGGAUCCAAACAAAAAAUUAAAACCCAGAAAUGAAAUCGAUAACAUUAUAUAAAUUCACGAUCUUUACCUAAUAUGCGAUCUCGCGAAAUCGCAGAGUAUAGAUUUAGGUAAAGAAUAAAAAAAAAACGAUCUCUCUCUCUCUCUCUAGAAAGGUAGCUUUCAGAUUACGAAGUCAAAAUCUGUUUAUAUACACAACGAAAUACAUAUGGCAUAUACGUAGCCCUGAGAAAGAAGACGAAGCGUCGUUUUUAAACAAACAUUAAUGCAGAGAAGAGGAGGAGGAAGACGACGAUGAAGCGAGAGAGAGAGAGAAAGAGCUACAUGUCGGUUUUGUCCGCCAUUUUUAUAGCCUUAACCUGUUUUGCUUAGUUGGUAAGAUAUGAAAUUAAACCGGAAACGGACCGAUACUUGAACCGGGUCAAUCUUUGUGUUUUUAGUCAAUGCUUUGGUAAUUGCAGUGAUUACGUUACGGUUAGUCAAAGAAAAAGUGUUGAGUUAACUUGUAUAAACGUCUGUUUGGUUGGUGUACCGGUGGUUACGGUCCGCGUAGGCGCUAAGCUAACCAUGAUUUUCUUCGAGUUUUUACUGUUUGUUAUGUCAUUUGUAAUUUGAUUUUUAUAAAUUAAAAUAGGUGUGGUGGGCCCACCGACAGAAUAGUUUUACUUCACGUUUUGUCCAGUAGAAGGUAGCCACGUGGAAACAGCCGACGCAGAUUCCUGUAUUCGGUGAGGGAGAAGAGCCACGUAUCUAACUUUAGGUCCAAAAGGAGAGGGACAGGUAGACCACGUGAGUUCAUCCAUUAAUUCAUGGACUUUGCAUAUGAAUCAAUUUCUCUUGUUUUUUUUUUUAACUUAAUAUUUAAAAACCGGCCCGAAUCGAGAAUCCAGUAUCGUUACAACUUUGAAUCCGACAAAAUAACCGCAUCUAAUCGUCCCCAACUAGAUUCCCUUACACAAACCUAACCCGGCGCAGUUCACUAGUUGGUUUCAAUUUCCACGGAAUCGUUCACCGUUCUCAACCGUAGUAGUCACAUCACGGAAAAGUGGAAUAAACUCUGAGUUACCCGAGUUUUCGGUGCCUUCCCGAGCCUAGGAGACCGCCGCCGUCCUAGUUGUCUUCUUGCCGGAGUAGCUGGAUCCCGAUGACUUCAUCAUCAUCGCAACCGACCCGGUAAAUGAAGCGCAAAACACCGGACUGUCGGGAAAGGAAUGCUUACCUUCAAUUGCCAAGGCCACCAACACGUCUACACCCUCCAAACCAAAAUGGGAUGCACUGGUUGCAAACUCCGAAUACAUAGUCUUCAUAACCUGCAAAGAGAAGAAGAUGCUCCAAGUAGAGAUCCCGACACUGGGAUGAUCGAUCUUCAACCGGAUCUCCAAGCUACGAGCAACACCAACAGACUCAUAAGAUGCUACCCGCAGCUUCUGGUCCAGAUCAGAGAACCUGAUCCUGUACUCCCUGAGCUCCGGCCAACACAUCGGUGGAGAACCGAGAGCAAGCACCAAAGCGGAAAUGAAGACGCCACUGACCUCCCACAAAGAGGCUGUGCUAUGAACCGAAGACGAGAGAGAUCUAACAAAUGGAGAGAGGCCGCCAGAGGAGAAGCCAUGUCUGCCAUAGACGACAGAAGCGGCGAAACAUCCAUUAGCAACAAACGAAGACUCACAGAGAAGUAACAGCCACACGGCCACCUAUCCUUUGUGCACGCGCCGACAAAGAGGUCCGCCGUCUCCACCGAACGCAGUUAGACCAAGUCUUGAUACAAGACGCCAAGUAUCUAGAUGACAAGAAGAACAAAACGCUCCACUCCAAUUCGAAGAUGAAACUCUUCGCUAAAGCAACAAGAUAAAAGACCAGAGGAGAGUACCAGAACUGAGUCACACGCACCACCACUGCCGUGACCCCGUGUACAUCUACAAAACUGAAAACGAGAUCUGACGGAGCCACACCCGAAAAUCCGACUUCGUUCACACCACCGCCUUAAACCGCCUCGUUGAGUCUCCAUAAAGCAUCACGACCACCGGAUCUAUCAUUUCCCAGGAAGAUCUAGGGUUCCGGCGACGAGAAACCUUCCACAAAAUUAGACAUGUCCACGGCAAGGAGAGAUGGGUGAGGAAGCAAAGGGAAAAAGAGAGGAAGGGGAGAGAUGCCUCCGGCGGGAGGAGCUAACGUACACCGGACGCACUGCCGUCGCCGGAGCUAAGCGGGGGCUGAGAAGAUGUAGAGAUGGAAGAGAGAGUCUUGGGUAGAGAGAGAGUAACUUUUUUCGAGUUCUCUAAUAAAUCAAGUGUCAGAUACAUUUGAACCCAAUUUCAGGGGUGUCAACUUCAGUGAAAUCACCAACAUAGCUGUCGAAAUUCGCUUCAUUUCUCUUGUUUUUCUUUGUCAAACUAGUGCACAUGAAAGAAUAAAACCUUUUUUUGGUAAUGUCAAAAUAUUUUUCGUUUGACAUAUUGAAAAGGUUAAUUUGGAUAAUAACCAACAUUAUAUUUUAAAUUAAUUAUAUUAUUAUAUAAAUGAGGGAAUUAAGUUAUUAACAUUUAUGUAAUUUUGAAGAUUUUUUUAUAUAUUUUGUAUAUUUUACAGUUUUUAUAUUUUGAAGAAGAUUUUCUCUUCCACCAUUUUUCUCUUGUAAAUAUGAUUUAUGGUUGUAUAUUUUUGUUUGGAGUAAGACGGUGGAUUUUGAAAGUGGUUUCCGAUAGUUGAUGAUUACGGUAAUGAGAAUAGAUGAUUACAGUACGAACAUCUCCAUUCUUUCCUUUGUUUCUUUUUUUUGGUGAAUAUUUCUAUUCAUGGUUCUUCACUACUAGUCUUUUUUUCUUGAUUUUUUUAGAUUGCGGUCAUUUGGCUAUGAUUCUUUGUCAACAAGUUUUUUCUUCAUUUUUUUUUGGUGACUUUAGCGGUUUCGUUGUUGGAGUUCAGGUAUUCAUCAGAGUCGAUCCUUGUUAAAGUGAGAAGUUAGGGUUCCGAAGUUUGAUGAUGGAUUAAUGGGUCAUUUAGUGGGGUUUUCGGGGUAUAGCCCACUAAUUCGAUCCCAUUUCAAGUUAAUACAGAUUUUUUAUUUUUCUGUUUUUAUUUUGUUUUUAUUUUAUGUUUUUAUGUUAAAAAUAAAAAUUAAUAUAAAAAGUCUUUUAUAAAUAUGAGAUGUUGUUCUGAGAAUCGAUCCAAACCGGAAUAAAACACCAAAAAAAAUAAAAAUCUCUUUGAAAAGCUCUAGUAGUCCAAGCUAAAUAAUAAGCAAUGUCGUCUGCCCAUGAUGAAUGUAAGAGAUCCUGAAGGUAUGAAAUAUUCUUUGUAGUGCAUGUAUCUCCUUCAGAUUUCUUGAGAAAUUUGGCCACACUUUAAGCUUCCUAAUCAUGGCAAUUAAUUCCUUGCAGUCGGUUCCAAAUUAGUUUUAAGAAGUUGAAUGACGAAAACAUAUUUCCAUUGUCCAAGCAAGUGCGUCGAGUUCAAGUGCAAAUGUGACUCUCUUCUUCUUUGGUUUCUUGAUAGUUGGAUUUGACCUGACACAAAUCCAACCGUAUCCACUGAAUUGUGCCACAGAAGUCUAAAACCAUCCACCAAAAAUAUAUCCUCUAAGCAUAUGGCUUGUGAAUCAAUAUUAACUGGUCAUUGUGUAACAGUCGACGCUGCUUAAUUGACUGAAUACCAAGUUUGACAUUUCUCAUUUCCAUGUUUGAUUUAUCUCUAGAGGGUCUCUGUCAAUUCCUCUAAAUAAUUUAUCAGUCCUUGCUUUUCAGAAAUAUCAGAUUAUCAAAGGAUAAGGAUCUUUAUCCAGUGACAGAUCUUCAAUACUGUUUUUCCUCCAAAAAUAUAAUAUAUAUUUGUGUAAAUGCUUGAGACUGGGAAAAUAUUGGUACAGGAAGGUGUGGCUGAUAGAGUUCAUGCUUGUAGGGUUGGAGAAUAUUUUAAAAUAACAUGAUUAGCAGAUUAUAUGGUUCCUCACAUCUAUGAAAACAAUUGUAACAUCACGUAUGACGACAUGUUCGAUUUCUUGCUACGGUUACAUGUCUUGUUACCAACUGCAAUAUAAAAUGACACAUAUUUUUUGGAGCAUUAAUUUUCCAAACAAAUGCUUGAAUCUUAGUGAUGUUGGGUUCCAAGUAGAUUAAUAAUGUUUCUUGAUGUAGGAUGUUUCAAGCGACCAAUUAUCGUGACUUAACAAUAUACAUGUCAUUCUUUGUAAAGGUCCAACAAUAGCUAUCUCCGUGAGUUGUUUGGCUUAUGGGAAAACUUCUAAUUAAAGGGUUUUCUUUCGGGUGAACCAAGUCUUCAAGCAUCUUCACAUUUCAUUCCUUUGAUACAUUGUUGAUAAAAUCACUAACAUGCAGUCUCGGAUGAACUAUUGGAACUCCAGGCAUGGCUAUUCUUGCAGGCGUAGUCGGAAUCCACAGAUCCUCUCAAGCAUUAACCUCAUAACAUCAAUGGAUCUUUUGUUUAAUUUCUAGUGUUAAUAAAGGUCUCGCAGCUGAAAGGCUUGCCAUACAUAUGAAUGUGUAUAGUAGAACUUGCUUGCAAGACGAGCUAAGCCUAUUAUCCUAUUCUUCAUUUCAGAAAAGAAAACAAGUCAUAGCAAUGCUUGUAACACAUCUUCAUGAAGCGUCAAACUAUGAAAUUGUUUCUAAUCCGUCUAGAAUUCCAACUGAUUGUCUUUGUAGAUGAUGUUUGGAUGAGUUUCUGGGAUCCAUCAAACCAUUAACCUUAGAAGAGCUGACUUCAGUUUUCUUUGAUCCACUAUGGCAUUUUAUAGCAUAUUAGCCUUGAUGUUCUAUGAUAUAGAUUUCCGCGCUAAUUGUCAACAAUAUUAUUUUUUUUUUUUUUUUUUUUUUUUUUUUUUUGUUUUGAAACAAAUUUUUUCUUUAGAAUAUUUUUUUUAUUUCCUAUAAACACACUUAAAUAUCUUUUGCAAAAUAUAUUUGAAAAUAUUUAUGCAAUUUGUUUUGUAUGUACAUUCUUUCUCAAAUUGACACUAAAGUGUUAGAUUGUUUUCAGUUUUUGGAAUAGUUUUACUUUUUAUUUCUAAAAACUAAUUUUCCUCCAAUUAAAAAUUUUGAUAUAUAGAUUCUCUAAAAUAUAGAGAAACUAUAUUUUUAUACAAAAUAACUGUAUAUCUCCAAGAUAAACAUCCAAAGUUUCAUUGUUUUCUUAAAUUUUUUUAUGAUGGUUUGUUUCAUUUUUUAAUUUAAAUAUUACUAUAUUUAUGCAUUAUUAUAAAAAAAACAAAUUAAAAUGAUAAAAUAUCAACCAAUACUAAAAUUUAGUAAAAAAUAUUUUUAACAUAUAAAAUAUGAAAAUAAUUUAUGUUACGAAUUCUUUUAUUAAACUUAUCAAUAAAAUUCAUAUAAUUAUUUAAAUUUACUGUGUUUAGAAUUUACAUAUUUUGCUAAUAAUCUAUUGAUAUUAUUUGUAAAUAUUGUAAGUGUGUUUUUGAAAAAAUAACUUAUAAGUUAACUUUUUUAAAAUACUAGACAGAUUCAAAAUAAAGUUAGUCUCUUGCGACUCUUCGAUCUCGCGCUUCGUUUCGGACAUAUCGCAGGUCCUGGUGUAGGGUUUCUAACCGGUGGUGCUCCGUGCGCAAGGGCUUCUUCCGGGUGAUGUUUCUGCUGCUACUGGUUCAACGGUGAGGUUGUCGAGGUGGAGAAUCACGGAGCAGUCGGAUUUUUGAGUUGGGAGAGGAUCGGCUUUCAACCUCUUGAUCGUCUCUGUUUCAUUUUUUCAUCGUUGUUGACGAUGAUCAGUUUGAUUUCGAUUAGGCGGUGGAUCUUUGCCGGUUUCUGGCCGGGAAUCAUUCUUCUACGGGGUUCAGGUUCUUCGGUAUCCUUCGGUGUCAUAGUGGUCCAGUCCUUAUUUCGGGUGGUUAAGUGAGCUAUGCUGGUCUCCUUGGCCAACAUAGGCAAGUUGUGUGCUUAGGUGUGCAUGAGGAGAUGGCGCCUAGCUCUGUUCAGAUUAGUUUGGGUGUGGCUAGCUGUUAUAUUCACCUGUUCAGGUGGAUCUCGACAGUCAUCUAUGGUUGUCAGGGGCAUCUUUCCACGCUACAUCACCUCAGUCCUUUUCAACACGGCUGCCUAUCAGUUCAUCCAAAUGUUUAAGGCGGUGGCUUUCAUUGCGGAUUUGAGUCUUGGUUCUUACUUUGUUUAACCUAGCUCCCUUUGACACGAGUCUGGGUUCUUACAGCAGAGUCAUCGACUUCUGGUUCUUGGUGGUCACAAACAUGGAGGCGAUUCUCGGGGUCAUUGAUCGCCUUUGUGUCAAACAUUUAGUCAUGUUCACUUCCUGGUGCCGUAAAGUUCGCUUGAUCUUUUGCGGUAGUGUGUUAUUACUUACUUUGCAGGUGAUUGUAGACAACCUGAUAUUGUGGCGAUGGUGAAAUCAACUUGCUUUUGCAUGGUUCGUGGCGAAAUAUAAGUGUGUACAGCUCGGUUCCUUGGAGCUCUUCUCGGUAUGAGUAACUUGAAACCUUCACUUCUAUUUCCAUCAACCGGUUCAUCGACAGUGAAGGGUUAUAAGCUUCGAGGAGUUCAUCGGAAGGUAGCUACGCCAAAAAUGACUAAAAAAAACUCAGCAUCCGAGAAAAAGAAGAGAACCUCACUUUCCCGAGGCCAUCAUCUAUUGUGAAAACGACAACUGAUUCCUAAAGAUAUUUAAAGUUGAUUAGCGAAAUGUGCUAGGUUUAGUGGGUGGACGAAAGUAGGAAUGUAAUAUAAUGAUAUGAGAAAUUUUGUUCAAAUCGUGCUUGUAACCGGAUCUAACUUCAUGUAUUUCGAUUUGAAUAAAAUUUAAAUUUCGAAAACAAAAAUAUUUAAAUUUAAAAAAACUAAAUUCUAAAAUCCAAAAUCUAAAUAUAAUAUCACUAUUUGUGUUCUUCAAGAAACUAAAAUAUACGGCAAAGUCUAAAACCGAAAAUUAUAAAAAGAAAAAAGAAAAAAAGAACUUAAAAGCCAAAAAUCAAAAUAUGAAAACACCUAAGUUUUUCUUUAAGAAAUAGAAUUCAGAAUUGACGUGAAAAAGAGCUCUUUAGAUACUGUAUGCCACUAGCCAGUCCGAGCAAUACAUGCAGUAAUUUAACUUUACUACCAUCAACUGUAACGAGACAAAAGUUUUUUUUUUUGUUUUUUUACCGAGACAAAAGUUAAAACAGAACAGUAUUGGAAAUCUACUCGAGUAUUUCCAUGUAGAAAUUUUCUACCUUCGAAUUAAUAUUUGAGAUACGUCAACAGUGAUAAUAACAAAAAAGAAGCUCCAAUAAGAAAACCAAAAUGUCUCAUUCCAAUCUUUACGUUUACAAGCUACCAAAUGCAAAACCGAAAUUCAAAGGGUAGAAUCGAGACGAGCACAAACGCAGCAAGUAUUAAACCAAAAGACAGAUGCGAAUUAUCAGUACUUAAUCGGUGCAAGAACAUCGAGCUGGGCUCCAAGUUUCUCCUCUGCAACCUUCUCGGCCUUAGUCCUGAGCUUGAUGAGCUGCUUCUUACGCUCAUACACAGCUUGUGACCUCUCCUUUCUUUUGACCUCAAGCUCCUGCAAUAUCAUUAUACAAAUGGUUAAAUCCCAUUUUCUUCCAGAUGAUGUCGACAUAACUAAAAAUGAAUUGUAUAUGCUCCUAAGUUUUGAGUUAGAACAUGCGCAGGGUUUACCAGACCAUAUUCAUUUUUACUACAUAAUCAACUCAGCAUUCAAACAACGAAAGAGAUGUUUCAGUAAAAUGCAAACCUACCACCCCAACUAUAUCUGGUCAUGCUACUACUAAAAAGACCCACAUAAUAUUUUAAUGUAUCAUCAACUCUCUAUUUAUAGGGUUCUUCAAAACUCAAUAUUAUAUUUAUGAAAACAAUCUAAAAUGACGAAACAUUUGUUCCCUAAACUUUAUAUUACAGAACAGGGACAUACCUUGAUGGUGUCGUAGUGGUUCCAGCCAACCUCAGAAGAAAGACGGCCCAACAAGCAGUACUUGUGACCAGCCUGGAGCCUCAAAACCCUACGCAAUACAAAAUGAAACCAGUUGAUAGCUGAAACAGAUUGGGCAUUAUCUAAUACAAAUAAAAAAAAUUUGAACAAAUAUAUUACUUGAGAGCAUCAGGAAUGACCAUUCUCUUGACCUUGUCGUAAGGAGGAGGGACUCCUUCAAAAACCUUCAAACGGUCAAGAGCAGCAGCUCCACGCUUGGUCUUGUGUGGAAUCAUUCUGUGACACAAUCAAAAAACAACUCUCUCACAAAUACAUUUUCAAAAUUACACAAAGAAAGCUUCACCAAAAUGAUUCAUUUUCAACAGCAGCAGCCAUAGAUACAAACUCUAAUGAGCUAAAAAAAGAUACUACCACGUGAUAUUGCUAUAGUCCUGCAUACAUUUACUGAUCUUCAUUUUCAAGAUUACAAGUUCAAAGGAAUGCAGAGAUUUAGAAAACGAACCCACGAACGGUACGCCAGAAGAUCUUAGAGGGAGCUCUGAAGUGAAUGGGACCGUGAGAAGGCUUAGUGUUCAUGCGCUUCCUGAGAAACCUCAUGUACUUCAUCUUCUGUCGAACCAAUCCACCUGACAGACAAAUCUCCUCACAUCGGACCACCACAACUCUCUGUCCGUUGAGCAACUCCUUAGCGAUGAUGGAAGCAAGACGCCCCAACAUGUGGUGCCUCGCGUCGACCACGACACGCUUCGCGCAUAUCCCUGAACCAGACACCAUCUCUCCACUGAUUCGAUUCUCUCGGGCUGCUUCUUCCUUCCAGAAGGUUAGGAGUGUAGCUCAGUGGCGGAUUAUAUAUGACGCGGCUAGUGAAACAAUUAGGGUUUCUCGUCUAAAACCUAAUGUUAAUGGGCUUUUAUAAUUAGAUUUUAGGCCCAAUAAAAGCCUCUUAACCUUUACUUUCUUGUCAUUCUUCAAGGGAUUCAUUCGGGUUCUUCUUCUGUCACCAGAGAGAGAGAGACACUUCGAUGAAUAUAGCUUCGAGGAUUCGACGAAGUUUCUUUAGAGAGGAGAAGAGGAAACUUCCUAAUGUAAAUGGAUCAUCGAGCAGGAACGAAGAUGAUGAUUUGCUAGGAGUGACUGAUGAAUUGAUCGAUCACGUCAGAUCUUUCACCAUUGACACGUUUAAGAACUUCUCUCUCUACGGUAAUUUCGAAUCCGAGUCUCAAUUUGAUGAUUUUUUUUUCUCGAAAGCAUUAGUGAUAUGUGGAUUAUGUUUAUGGAACUAGACGAAGAAGCGUGUGUAAAUCCUUUGGAAGAAGAUGAAGAAGUGAGCUCCUCUGAGAAUGUGAAGAAGGAUUUGUCUGAUUGGCAGGAGAGACACGCCGUUCUCGUCUUGUCCAAAUCCAAGGUUUUUGAUCCUUCUCUUUGUCUUAAUGAUUUGAACCUGCCGAGUUUUUGCUGUUCAAGAUGAGUUUGUUUUACCGAUUAGUAACAUUGAGUUAAAUCUUAUAGAAAGCUUUCGAAGCCCGAAAAAGAUUUGUUUUUUUUUUUGUUUUUUUGGCAAUUGCAGGAACUCUCACAGCUGAGAUUUAAGUUAUGCCCACGUCUCUUAAAGGAAGAUCACUUUUGGAAGAUAUACUUCAAACUUGUCAGGAACCUUGUUGCAAAGUAACUACUUUCUUCCUUUGAGAUUCCUCCAUUGCUGUUUGAAAAAACUAUUAAAGAAAUAUAUGAUUGGUAUAAUCGAAAUUGUUUUUGCAGAUAUGAGGUGCAAGCAAUCCAACAGGCAAUAAUCAAAGGUGUUUAUGAAGUUGAAAUGUCAGAAACCAGGCCAAAUUUGACUAGUACCGGCGGACCUGCAACUCUAUGAAAGCUUAGUAGCUUAAGACAGGUGUUGUAACUUACAGACUAGUAAACUCUUGCUGUUGUAAUCUAAGGCUGCACUUAUUCUAAACAUGUAGAUUUUUUUUUCCCACGGCUUGCUUUUACAGCUUAUUAGACGGGUUCAAUAACGAAAGCCAAUAUAUACUGAAUCAGCACCGCUUGAUCGGUAAAAUAUUAUUCCAUGUGUUUAAAGCUUGACAAACCCCGAAGAAAUGAUAGUGUGAUUGCAGUAGCAAUUCAUGGCACUACGUUGGCCAAAUAAACCUAGUAACUCUCCCAAAGUCGGAUUAACAAACUCUGCAACAUGAUCUUGCUUUCUUACGGUUUUGCUUCACAAUGUUGGAUAUAAGAAUGAUUCAACAACCAUCAACCAAAAUAUUGAAUGAACAGGGGCUUGAUUGGUGAAUAUUACUCCGUGUGUUUAAAGGGUGACAAAACCAACAUGGUUUACACAUCUUCAAAAAUUGAUCAUGUGAUUUCAGUUUAUGCUGGGUGGUGUUUACUGCCUAUGUAGUAAUAAGAAUCGACAUCAUUAUUUCAUGUUUUGGUUCAUCGGAUGAACAAAUUAUCCAAGGAGCUGACAUAUUUACAUGAGCCAAGAUACAAAAAGCAGCAGCUGCUGCAACGAGGUGAAAUUAAAACCAGCGUUGAUAUCUUUAAAGUAAAUCAGAUGGCACAAACCGAACCACAAACUCAGAGAAAAAAGCUUGAGAAAAUGAUUUAUAUAAAAUCCCCUAAUCAACUACCCAAUACCUGAAAUAACCGAUUCGAGCAGCUGCUGCAACGAGGUGAAAUUAAAACCAGCGUUGAUAUCUUUUAAAGUAAAUCAGAUGGCACAAACCGAACCACAAACUCAGAGAAAAAAAGCUUGAGGAAAUGAUUUAUAUGUUCAUAGAGUAACAAAUGAACUUUCCUUUGAAAAACUACAAUUUUUCUUUUUAAAACUAUACGAUCACAAACCACCUUCAACAUGUACACACCAUGUCCCUCUCUCUAGACUGCUAUUUCAUUCUGGGCUCGAUGAUGUUGACACAUCAGAAUCAGGAGGCCCUUCCUCGCUCUCAUCACGGCCUUCAUGGACCAUCGGUCCGCCAACAAGGAUACCGAUAGAAUUGAGAUUGAGCAGAAGCUGACGAACCGAUGCACGCUCAAACUUGUGGUCGGGAGUGUGUUGCUGGUUGAAUCUCCCGGGAACUUUAGAAGGAGUCUCGUAACAGUCUUUGCAAAGGUCAUACCCCAUUUUCUCCUUGCAGUCUAUGCACCUGUAUCGCUCCCCUUCUAUUGGAUACACCUGCAAAUGUCACAUCACCACUCAGAAUAAUGAACUAUAAACAACUCUGUUUAGAAUAACAACAAUGUACUUACUCCGCAAGAAUCACAACCAACUCCGAUGUGAACAUUACAGGCAGGGUUUGCCCACCUUGGAAGACUGUUGUUGUUGUUGUUGUUUUCGUCUGAUGAGGAUGUGCCUUCUUUGUGAUACUCUUGAAAAUCUACAUAUCAAUGAUUACAAAACUAUGAAUCUCUUGUGUACACAGAUGAUUCAUAGAGUUCUCACAAUGUAACAACAACAACUUACUUCCUUUGCUAUCAUGGGCAAGCGUUUUCUGAAUCCCACUUCUCCUUGAAAUGUAUUCAUCAGGAAAGUUUUCCUCCAAAAACUGCUCAAGAGCCAAACAAACUUUGGGAAAUCUUCUCGGGUCACAAACAUGACACUCUUUGCAUUUGAUCUUUUCGCUUUCUUGAUCCAUCAUAUCUACUACACAACCUUCGCAAUACACUGCAAAAGCCAUGACACGUUAUAUUAUAAGGGGAAAACUCGGAAAGAAAGAAAGAAAAGCAAAACAUGUAAGAUGAUGAUACCAUGUCCGCAGUUGAGAACCACAGGUCGGACGAGCAGCUCCUUACAUGCUGAACAGAGCAAAUCAUCUUUUGAAAUGCCAUUCUUAGGUAAGUCGUUCUCAUGAACGUUAACAGUUUUUGCAUCUUCCAGGGGUUCUGUAUUAGAGCACUCAUCUAAAUACAAUAGAAUCAUAAGCAUAAAAACAGUUGACUAGAAAGGGAUCUCAUCAUGUAAAUACACUCACCAGAGACACUUAGAGACUGAAGCUUAGCCUUUGGUUCAUCAAUCUGAGGUGAGAAACAAGCUCGUGCUUGUUCAUCCUCUGGAAACCAAGACAAUAAAUCAACAAAAGUUACUUACACCUGAACCCAACAGCAUAGAGAAGGUGACACUCAAAGCAAAGAAGAACUCACUAAGAAGUUGUGCUUCUCUCUUGUUAUGGGCGAUGGGGUAUAACUUCUUGAGGAGGAAAUGAAGCUUAAGGCAGAUAGUGGGGAAGUGAAGAUAAGGGUCUCUACAGAUGGGACAAUGAGACACGCGCAAGCCACUCAUGGACCUAUGUACGCACCAGAAACACGAUAGAUGACCACAUGCUGCAGUUUGCAAUCCAAAAGAAUGCAUCAGAAUAUCAAACAGAAAGAGAUAUUUGUUUUGAGAGUCGAAGUAAAACUUACACAGCACAAUUGGUUUGUAAAGAAGUUCCCUGCGCAACACAAAAUGUCCAUUUCUAACGAUUAGUUUCAAGAAGAACGUAUUUGCACAAUCAUUGACUCAAAGGAAUACAAGUUCUCGAAGACUAUGAGAUCUACAAAACAGAUGAUUGUAAAUUCCACACACUUACAGGCAGACGCAGCAGAGAAACUUAUCGGAGAUUUCUUCUUCUUCCUGUGGUUCAUCGUCUUUUAUCAUCGUCACAUAAUCCAUUGAUAGAGAGAGAGAGAUCUGAGAAGGUGACGGUGCGAUGUCUUUGCUUUUUUAGAGAAUCAAUCAAACCGCCGUACCUCCUAAGACCUUAGUUUUUGCCUGCCUUGUACAUAUUUAGGAUAAAGAACAUUAAUUAGUGAAUCUUUUAUAUUCAGAAAAUAUCCCAGGAUAGCACUAAAAAAAAAUUUUGGUCACAAAUAUAAUCUAAGAAUCAAAAUGAAUAUAUAUUUAUACUCAUAAGGUUAACUAAUUCAAACCUUAUGAUUUUGAGUUAAAAGUCGUAGAUUUGGUAUUGAAGUUUAAAAUUUUAUAAAAUAAAAAGUAAAUAUUAAAAAUUUGAAAAUAAAAAUUUUAAAAUAGUUACAAAACGUAUUUUUGAAUUAAAAAAAAUUUGGAAAAAGAAAUUAAAAAAAAAUUCGAAAAAAAUAUUUCAAAAAAAAGUUCGAAUUCGAAAACAUAUAAUCUAAAACAAUAAUUUUUUUUAAUUUUUUAAUUUUUUUUUUAAUUUAUCUAGGGUAUUAUGAUCUUUUUACCUAUUAAAUGAAACAUUUUGGCCACUUUCCUCCUUGUGAUCUACUUUUGUGAUAAAAACUUGAAAAUUGUCUAUUUAUGAUAAUUGUAUUUUAUAUUCCCCUCCUUCUAUUUAUCAAAAACCUUAAGAAAUAACUUCCGUUACAUACCUUUCAAUUUUAAGGCCGGGCAAAAUAUCCAGAUCCGAAAAAACCAAACCAAAUCUAAUCCAAAAAGUUAUAUCAAAGUAACUUGAAGAUGGUAAAAUAUACCAAUGAAUCCAAGAACUGAACAUGAUUCGAACCAAAAUAUUUCACUUAUCCACAAAUACCCAAUCAAAAUAUAUAUUUAAAUAUAUUAUGUAGCUUUAGAUUUAAUAUCUAAUUUAAAAUAUCUAAAAAUAUGUUAGUUUUGCAAUUGACUAAUUUUUUUAUUAUAAAUUUGAGUUUCAGAACUUUGCUAUGAGUAGACUUCUAAAGAAAUUUUUUUACUGACAUAUGAAGUCUCCGAAUACGAAAUGUGCUAAUGUUAGUUUUACAAUUGACCAUGUUUAACUUCAUACGAGCAAAGUUCUGAAGGAGUUUCAUAGUUAGAAGACUUCCCAUAAGUCUGCUCUUAAAACUAAGAGUAUGAUCAAAAUCUUGGAAUAACGAUAGAACACAUUUCAGGGGAAGUCUUCUCACCAGGAGACAUAGAAGUCUCAUCGUGGUGGUGAGAAGACUUCCCAUAAAUUUGUUCUUAAAAAUAGGGGUGUGAACAAAAUCGAGUAGACUUCGGGGGAAGUCUUCUCACCAAGAGAGUUCUUCGGAAGUCUUAUCAUCAAGAGACUUGUCCUGAAGCCUGCCAAGUAAUUAAUUUUA
rnacentral:lncRNA from 1 species